GUCAGCUUACCAGAUAAACACCAACAGAAAUCACUUCCCAGCCACCAAAGACUUCCCAUUCGAUCCGAUCACCACAAAAAACCUCAAGCUUCUCGACCGGUUUAUUAGUUGUUCAACAGCCAACACCAUGAGCUCUCGGAUGGCCGGAGCCACGUUGCUGCGCCACCUGGGCCCCCACCUCUUCGCCGCCGCCGAGCCGGCGUCCGGGCUCGCCGCGAGCGCGAGGGGUAUCCUGCCCGCCGCCGCGAGGAUCUUCCCCGCGCGGAUGGCCAGCACCGCCGCCGGCGCGCAUGCCAAACAAGAAGGUGACGCUGAAAAGCCCGAGAGCGCCACAGCGCCGGAGCAGAACAAGAAGCCCGUGGCGAGCUACUGGGGCAUCGAGCCGCGGAAGCUCGUCAAGGACGACGGCACGGAGUGGCCGUGGUUCUCCUUCAGGCCGUGGGACACGUACCGGCCGGACACGUCCAUCGACGUGGCCAAGCACCACGAGCCCAGGGCGGUGGCGGACAAGGUGGCGUACCUCAUCGUGCGGACGCUGCGCGCGGGCAGCGACCUCUUCUUCCAGCGCCGCCACGCUAGCCACGCGCUGCUGCUUGAGACGGUGGCGGCGGUGCCGCCCAUGGUGGGCGGCGUGCUGCUGCACCUGCGCUCGCUCCGCCGAUUCGAGCACAGCGGCGGCUGGAUCCGCGCGCUCAUGGAGGAGGCCGAGAACGAGCGCAUGCACCUCAUGACCUUCAUGGAGGUGACGCAGCCCCUGUGGUGGGAGCGCGCGCUCGUGCUCGCCACGCAGGGCGUCUUCUUCAACGCCUACUUCGUCGGCUACCUCAUCUCCCCCAAGUUCGCGCACCGCUUCGUCGGCUACCUCGAGGAGGAGGCCGUCCACUCCUACACCGAGUACCUCAAGGACCUUGAGGCCGGCUUGAUCGAGAACACGCCCGCGCCGGCCAUUGCCAUCGACUACUGGCGCCUCCCCGCCGACGCCAGGCUCAAGGACGUCGUCAUCGCCGUGCGCGCCGACGAGGCGCAUCACCGCGACGCCAACCACUACGCAUCGGACAUCCAUUACCAGGGAAUGACGCUGAAUCAGACGCCUGCGCCGCUCGGCUACCACUGAUCAGUUCAAUGGACCACCAUAGAUCGAUGCCUGCCCAGUCCUUCCGCCCAGUCCACCGCUGUCACCUACUACCACUGCCGCCGACGUUUGUCCCGUUAAUUUGAGAUGGAUUGUUGCGCGCGCAGUAUGUUUAUGUCCAUGAGUUUUUUGUGUCACUUUGUACCCAAAGAUAUGUUUUUGUAAGCCGGUAAUUCUUGUACAUAUGAAUUGAUUACUUUUCUUGAAAAAAAUAUGUGAUAUUUGGGUACAAAGUGAUACUAUUACUUGACAAUAAAAUAUUUUUAACGGACGUGCAAUAUGCAUACUUUCCUAGGCAAAAUACCACCCACCAAAACAUCUCAUCGUUAAAGCUCUUAAAUCAUAAAAUCUCAAUGGAUUACCAUAUUGACGGGUUGUUGAUAAAAGAAAUCCAUAUAUGCUCUCCGAUCUAUUACUAUUUGCACUGACCAUGUUUAGAUGAAUGAUCUCCAAGAGAGAUGUGUGUAUGUUAGUUGGGUUACCUUGACAGUAAUCUAUCCCAGUGACAGAAAGAAAGAAAUCUAUUAUGUUAUUUUCACUAAGGAUGAAAAGAUAGCUACCUAGUUGUCUCGGUGACGAGUUGGAGGUAAGAGAAUAUAUUGUCAUUAAAAGAUAGCUGCCUAGUUGCCUCGGUGAUGAGUUAGAGGUAAAGAGAAUAUAUUGUCAACAUUACGUUACCCUCUGUUUAAUGCAACACUCUACUUUUACUUAAUACUCCUAGAGAUGCAUGCUGGAUAACAGUCUCGAGCAGAGUAUUAGUUGUAUAUGUAGUUGGAUAACAGUCUAGAGAUAUAGGGACGUAAUGACUAUAUGAAAUCAUGAUGUAUAUUAUCAAUCAUGAAAAUGUAAUUUAAUCGAUACACAACUGUAAUUUGUUCACCACACAGAUGCUAUGUUUUUUUCCAGAGAUGCCACUAGUGAAGUUAUGGAUCCGGUCAUAAUCACGACCUCGAUCACUUGUGUUGUUAUUCUUUACAAUCUGUACCAUUUUUAUUUUUUGUUUUAUAGAUCAUAUGAUACGCUUAUCUUUGUAACUAUCAAAGCUGCGGAGAUUGAUAACCUCAUUAGACAAGUUGGGGCCAAGAAGAAGUUCAUAAUUGUAUGCAAGUACUGAUAAUUAACUCGUAACUUGAGCACCCCACGGUUUGAUAACAUUGGUUCUUCACUGAGGGAAAUAUGCUGCUUCCUACAAACCCUUACUCUUCGUGGUUCAGCGAUUUCCUAUAAAUAUAAUUGGAAGUGCUACACCGAAUGCUUGACAAAUCACGAGAAUUGAUUCAAAGUUGUGAAAGUAUUCAUGCACCACCCUUGCCAUAUCCCCAUGAUCAACAUAUAUGGGCCCAUCCAUCUUGAGGUUACCGAGAAAACUCUUGCACUUCAUGUUAUUGGCAUGUAGGUUAAAAUAACUGUGUAUCUGCGCCCCCUCCUUCGGAGAGAGCAACCUGGAUUGUUGGUGCACCAUGGUCAUCUUGAGUGAUGCUAGACCUAGAAAUUUCUUGUUGAGCAAUUUGUGUAGACCUCUCAUGCGCAGAAAGAGGCUCAGGCUCCAUAUCAACACCUAAGCGCAAGAUCAACUCAGUGGCAAUCCAGGUCCAGAGCUUGGUAUUACUAUUACCUAUGAAUUUUUCACUCCAACUUUUCAAUUGUCCGGCCGCAACCCUCUUUUUAGCAUGCACCCUCUUAAAUAGAUUUUUAAUUCGCGUGAUAUCCAUACACCAGCUACCACAUCCUUGAAGCAUGGCAACUUCGGCUAAUAGGACUCAAAUUAGAAGCGGCUGACAGAGUGGGGAUUGGCGACAAGAUCCAUAAGCAGCGGGUAGUGGUCAUAAGCAAGGUUUUGGCUAUCGAUAUGAUAUUUUCUUUGCCUUAAGAUGGAAUUUGUGGAUAUGCUGGUUACCCAAAAAUACUACACAACUACCACUUGAAAUAUUUCAAACAAAAUUUAAAUAAAAAAUUCUAGCUUAUACAAAUAGGUAUUGAACUCCCUAGAUAAAAAACUAUGAGGCUUACAUGAUGGUAGCCCUUCUAGGUUAAACAUGUUUGUACAUUAUUGUGAACUUACGUCUGUAGUUAGUACUCUAUGUGAUAACAUCUUCUAGUAUGGGGCGAUGCAGUAGAUAAAAAUAGAAAAAAAAUAUACAUCUUGGGACUCAAAACUGGCUAACGUGUUGAUGCGGAGGGCACUCUCUCACCCCUGCACCACAUCCUAGUACUAUCCGACGAGAGAUGGUGCCAUAUUUAGGUAUAGAUGUAGCGUUUAAAUUCAAAAUGUCAAAACAAAUCGGUAUUUGUUUUUGGCAUAUGCUUAUUUUAUGGGAGCACCUACUGGUCAGUCGACUGAGCCCCAUACUCAUUUCAGUCGAGCAGGGAGGAGUGGAAUGCACUGUUUUCAUUUCUCCAAUGCUUGACGUGUUUGACAAAACACAAGCCCAACCGGCUUGCUUAGCUCUUACCUAUACAUCCCGGUUAGCUAUGCCACAUGCAAUGUAACCACAAGCAUCAAAACAUGCAAUGCACAAUGAUGGGCAGUGGAAGGAAACCAACAACGCAUGGACACUCCCUGCGAAUUAGUAAAAAUACUUCAAUAGAAAAUNNNNNNNNNNNNNNNNNNNNNNNNNNNNNNNNNNNNNNNNNNNNNNNNNNNNNNNNNNNNNNNNNNNNNNNNNNNNNNNNNNNNNNNNNNNNNNNNNNNNNNNNNNNNNNNNNNNNNNNNNNNNNNNNNNNNNNNNNNNNNNNNNNNNNNNNNNNNNNNNNNNNNNNNNNNNNNNNNNNNNNNNNNNNNNNNNNNNNNNNNNNNNNNNNNNNNNNNNNNNNNNNNNNNNNNNNNNNNNNNNNNNNNNNNNNNNNNNNNNNNNNNNNNNNNGAAUAGGCGAUUAAAAAUAAUUACGGUUGAGGCUUGAACAAAUACGGAAUAAACCUAGCGGUUAAUUUGUCAAGCACAAAACCUAAAAAGACUAGGCUCACCUAUGUGCACCAACAACUUAUGCUAAGCAAGACAAACAACUAUGUGAUAGCAAGAUAUAUGACAAGGAACAAUAUGGCUAUCACAAAGUAAAGUGCAUAAGUAAAGGGCCCGGGUAAGAGAUAACCAAGGCACACGGAGACGACGAUGUAUCCCGAAGUUCACACCCUUGUGGAUGCUAAUCUGCGUUUGGAGUGGUGUGGAGGCACAAUGCUCCCCAAGAAGCCACUAAGGCCACCGUAAUCUCCUCACGCCCUCGCACAAUGCAAGAUGUCGUGAUUCCACUAAGGGACCCUUGAGGGCGGUCACCGAACCCGUACAAAUGGCAACCCUUGGGGGCGGUCACCGAACCCGUACACUUUCGCAACCCUUGGGGGCGGUCACCGAAACCCGUCAAAUUGCUUGGGGCGAUCUCCACAACCUAGCUAAUUGGAGACUCCGACGCUUGCCGAGAGCUUUACACCACAAUGAUUGAGCUCUGAACACCACCAACCGUCUAGGGCGCCCAAGCACCCAAGAGGAACAAGCUCAAGGGUACCAAGCACCCAAGAGUAAUAAGCUACUCACUUCACUUCCACGUAUCACCGUGAAGAACUCAAACCGAUGCACCAAAUGCAAUGGCAAGGGCACACGGAGUGCCCAAGUCCCUCACUCUCAAAUCCCACCAAAGCAAUGAAAGCUAUGGAGGAAAAUGAGAGGAAGAACAAGAAGGAGAACACCAAGAACUCCAAGAUCUAGAUCCAAGGGGUUCCCCUCACAUAGAGGAGAAAAGUGAUUGGUGGAAAUGUGGAUCUAGAUCUCCUCUCUCUUUCCCCCCAAAAACUAGCAAGAAUCCAUGGAGGAAUUGAGAGAUAGCAAGCUCCAAGAGGUCAACAAUGGUGGGGGGAAAACUUGCUCAGAUCUCUUAGGUUGGAGGAGGAAGAAGGGGGUAUAAAUACCCCCAAGAAAAAUAUGACCGUUGUCCCCCGGGCACCUGGACAAAAGGAGUCCGGGCACCCGGACAACCCAGAGAAAAAGCCACUAAACUCCGAGCACCCAGGGGAAAACCCUGGGCACCCGGACGAACAAGGGAAGCACAGCGGCAGGGGGCCGGGCACCCGGGGGGUCCCAACCCCGGGCACCCGGAGGGGGCCGAGAGGAGGAGGCGGAGGAGCCCGGGCACCCGGAUCCAAGACCCCGGGCACCCGGGGUGAUCAGAGGAGGUGAGGGAGCGCCCCGGAUGACCCCGGGCACCUGGACCGGCCAGAGAGGUCACUAAGGAGGGCCUCGGGUGACCCCGGGCACCCGCACUAGGCAGAGAGAAGCGGGAACCGGUAAAAUUGAAACGGCAACAACUUUUGCAAACGAACUCCAAAUUUGAUGAAACCAAGUUUGAUGGAAAGCUAAAGACAAGGGCUAACACAAUCUUGAUAGAAAUAUCAAGAAAUAGAAAUUGAGAAAAUACCCAAAAUAAAAUGGUGAGAACCCUUUUUCAAAUAAUACCGGUAAAAACUCAAACACCGAAAACGCAAAAGAAGAUGCAUAGGAAAUCGGUUUUCGAUGAACUAGAGCUUGUCACGAAGAUAACCACAAUCUCUAAAACCUCACAAAGAGAAUAUCCAAUGAAGAACCAACAAAUAUGAUGAUGCCAAGAAUGCAAUGGUUUGAGCUCUCAUCGAAUGAUACGGUCAAGCUACUCACUCGAGAGCCCCCCUUGAUAGUACGACUAUCGACCCUAUGAUCCGGUCUCCCAACUAACACCAUGAGACCGGUAAAAUAGAAAAACUAUAAAGGACAAACCUUUUUCUUGCACAUAGUACACUUGAGCUAGAUGAUGACGGUCUUGACUCCCUCAAGUUGGACCACCUUUCUUGAUUGCAUUGGCUCGAUGAAGACUAGUAGAUUGCUCCCCCAUAUUCCACUAUGGGUGAGCCACUCUUCCAAAUAUCUUCACAAGUCCAUUGUCACCACAAUGGAGGACAAGCUUAAAGCAUGAUCUCUUCGUGAUGCUCCACUCUUGGAGAUGCUCCACUUGAACUUGCACACCGCAAUCUUGAUGACGAUCACCACUUGAUGUCAUCCUCCAUGGGUUGUAUGAGAUCUUCCUCAUACCAUGGGAUCACUUGAUCCCUUUCGGUACAUCUUCUACGCUUUGUGUGUUGAUCAACUUGAUAGUCUUGAUCAACCUUGUAUCAUGUCUUCUACAUGACCAAUCUUUGGAUAAUUCCUUGAAUAGCACAUUGGUAAACACAUAAACUCCUUGAAACCAACACAUGGACUUCAAGAAAAACCUAUGGACAAAUCCUUCAAAUAUAACUCAAGCCAACCAUUAGUCCAUAGAGAACGUCAUCAAUUGCGUGUUGAUCAACUUGAUUCACACUUGACUUAGUCUUGAUCAACCUUGUAUCAUGUCUUUUACAUGACCAAUCUUUGGAUAAUUCCUUGAAUAGCACCUUGGUCAACACAUAAACUCCUUGAAACCAACACAUGGACUUCAAGAAAAACCUAUGGACAAAUCCUUCAAAUAUAACUCAAGGCAACCAUUAGUCCAUAGGGAACGUCAUCAAUUACCAAAACAAAACAUGGGGGCACCGCAUGUUCUUUCAAUCUCCCCCAUUUUGGUAAUUGAUGACAAUCACUUUCAAGAGCGUUUAUAUAAGGAAUUAUGCAUCACCAUGCAAUGCAACAACCAAUAAUGCAUGCGUAUGAGAUGCAAAAGUUUAGGACCAAAACCAAAGCAAGAAGAAAUAACUCUCUAAACUUCUCCACAAAACUCUCUGAAACUUCUCCCCCAUUGGCAUCGAUUGCUAAAAUGGGCGAAAAGCUUAGAAGGCCAAUAUAAAAUGUGUUCCUCAAUAGAUUGUGUAUUUCUCAAAAGGAGUGGAAUGUAAUACACAUAUACAAAUAUACAUACUAGGAGGAAUACAAACUAUACUGAGGAACCAAAGAUUGCUAAAGGAUGAUAUGUCACAAAGAUAUAACAAAGACAUAAACAAUCAUUCAAAAGAUACCAAUUGAAACAUGCAAUGAAAAGAUACCAAUUGAACCAACUAGACCAAUGAUCCUACGAGCCACAUGAAUAAUAGAUAUUAUGAUAUGAGCAUAGGAGUGUUCUAAAGGAACUAGAGAAGAUCCCCAUGAUUUGUGCAUAAAUAAGAUUUUUUUAAUUUGGAUACAAAGUGCACAAAAUAAGAUCAUCACUCCCCCAAAAUCAAUAGAACCUCACAAAAAGUGCAAGCGGGCAUGUAGGAAACUAAGCCUAUUACUUGCAACAAACAAAUGGUUGACCAACAUAUAAAAGAGGCAACUUAGAAAUAGGCUCAACCAACUUGAGAAGACUAAUAUAACUAUGCAAGACAUGUACUUCCCACACACAUCUAGCAAAGGGGCUCACAAGCACACUCAAUAUGAAAAAAGAAUAACCAACGCUUGUGACAACCCAUGGUGAAGAAAGAAAAUGAUAGCAUUGUCAAGAGGAGGGAUACCAAUCGAAUGGCAAAAGCCUCAUCGAGACAAGCAAGAGCAAACAGGUACCUUCACCACACAAGAGUGCAUCAAGAUGUAAUGAGAUAAGACCUGCACAUAAGGCACACACUUUCACGGAGCCACCAAAGAAAUAAUACAAGAAGGAAAAGGUGGACGUGAAAGAAAGGGAUAUCAACUAGAUAUGCAACUUCUCUCAAGUGUAUAAGAUUCUAGGUAGAUGAAGAUCAUGAUGAUAUCAAUCCACAAAGAAGGAUGUCACACGACAAAAAGAAAAGAGUAAGGUAUCCACAAGGAAGUCAUAAAUAUACCAAUAAGAUAUUUGCUUGAAAGCAUAGCACAUGGCUAGAUAUGGUCUUAUUGUAAAUGAAUUCUAACCACACGAACAUCAAAGACAUCACAACUAGCAAUAAGAGAUCAUUGUUGGGAUGCUUUGAGAAAGGAAACAAGUAUCACAAGAAAGAAUGAAUUACAUGCCAUGAUACAACCUACACAAGAUUGAUGCACAAAAUGUGUGCAUAAAGUAGAUGAUGAUACUUGUUACCGAGAUAGAAUUGGAAGGAUGUAGUAGAUACCAAUUGAAGGUAGAUAGCAGUUCAUUGAUCAUCCUAGCUUGACUCCAAUAAGCACAUGGUGACAACGCCGUCCUUGUGAGUGAGCCGAGCAUCCAAUGCAUAUCCAAUUGUUCCUAGAACAACAACACAAACUAAAUGGUACCCAAACUCAUUGGGACCAAAGAGUUAGAAACACCAAUACAUAGGACAAACUCCAUAUAAAUAUGUGCACAUAGAUAUGAAAAUAAAUUUCAUGCACAUCCCAUUCAAUUUGAGACUUGGUGGAGUUCCCCUUAUAUAUUGGGUCAAACAAAGAAAGCAUGCCAAAGAAAAUACAUGAAGUAAAUAUGCAUGCUAAAGACUUUCAAGACCCGAUACCAAAUGGAAAAGAAAUACCAAGUGAAAAUGAGAUACCAAUGAAGAAAAGCAUCACUUGGAAGAUAUCAAUUAAAAGAUACAUCAAGGAAUGAGAUAUCCAUUGAUACACGCAAAGUAAAAGAUAUUGAACUCCCAAAGGAGAGGAUGGUUCCGAACAAACCAAGCCCUCUAAAAAGUUUCAUGAUGGCACAAGAACCAGAAAGAAAUGGCUUCCUUCCACCAAAGCACACUUGAUAAGGAUCACAAGAUGAGUGUUCUAUAGAAAAUAUGAUAGCUCCCCCAAGAGUUGUGCAUUAUAGAGAAUUUGCAUUUGAAUACAAAAUGCACACGGAGGGAUCACCACUUUCACUAUAUCUAGAAAACACUAGACAAGAUCAAGAAAUCAAUAAGAUCCACAAGUGGUAUGGACGGCAUUGCGAGUUGACACAAUCCUUGGCAAGUGAUAAGGCAAAUAAAAGCAAAAGCCAAUGUUAAGAUGAUCAACAAUAUCUACCACAUAAAUUAUUACCAAUUGUCAAGAGAACAAGUAUUUGGAAAUAAUUCCCGGUGGUAGAUUGCAAAGAUAUCCAACAUCAUCUUCACACCAAACACAACAACAAAUUGCAACUUGUAGAGCUAACAUGCCACCUAGGAACAAGAUAAUUUACAAUACCAAUUCAAGGUGACAAUAUCUCAAAUGCACACAUUUUCUAGGCUUGUAGUAUGAACAUAGCACAUCACUCCCCCAUAAUGUGACACCAAAGAAAACUUAACAAGAGGCAAUAAGAAUCCAACAAGAGAUAAUUAAUGGACUAUUCAGAAUUUGAAUUUCUCAUGAGAAGACAUACCACAUAGAUACUAGAUAAUCUUGUAAUAUCACUACUAGGUGGUAUUCCUCGUGUACACACAUUUAUAGGAUCUUGAAGUGCACAAAGCACGUCACUCCCCCAAAAUGGGAUGUUCCAUUAAUCUCUCACAAGAUCCAACUAAGAUACAACAAGAUGAAAAAAGGCUCAACACAACUCUCACAGGUACAUGAUGUGCAAACCAUCAUACACACUUGAUUACUCAAGUUAAGCAAAUUGGAAGCACAACAUAUACAAACACAUGCAAGGUACAAAACCAAAACAUGCAAGGGGGCAAGUAACUUUUAAUGUAAACAAUUUAAGUACAAGUUACCGCAAGGAGGCACAUUAGAUAUAAGAUAGAAACCCAAUUGACUUGUCUUGAGACAAUAUGAAUGAUGAAGGCCCCUUAAUCUUCAUGAUGUAGCCAAGUCUCCAAUGCCCUCCAACAACACCUAUUGAUCAAGUUUGAGCUUGUUGGUCCCCAACCAAGUUGGGUCCUAAGAGGUUAGUCACAAUAGGCUUGGCUACCCAAAUGGUUCUUUUCUUGACACCACUUUGAGUACCAACAAAUUUGGCAAACACAUUGCUAACCUUAUCCUUCCCAAGAGAAUAGACAUCAUCAAUUAGAAUAGGGUUGGAUAAGGAACCAUUCAUGCAUGAAGAAGCGACGUGACCUUUCUCACGACAUAGGUAGCAAUGUCUAUUCUUCACUUUCUUCUCACUUGAUUUCUCAACUUGAGAAGUAUUAGCUUGGGUCUUCUUGGGAAGAGGCCUUUCUUCAGCUUGAGGUUGAGCAUGAGAGUGAACUUGCAGCCGCUUUCCUUGUUGCUUGUCACUAAUGAGCUUCUUCUUCAAUGGGCAAGAUCUAACAUGAUGCCUUUCAAUUUGGCACUUGAAGCAAACAAUCUUGGCCAAAUUCUUGACUUGUUCUUGGCCCUUCUUCUUGUUCAUCUUGGACUUCUUCUUCUUAUUGGAGUUGAAUCCAAGUCCACCUUUGUCAUUGGGGGAUUUUUGCACACUCAAGAUAUUGUUGAGUGUGGACUUCCAUUCAUGACACUUUUGCAAGUCAAUCUUCAAAGAAGUGACUUGGGCCUUGAGCUCUUUGAUUUCCUCUACAUGGUUAGUCUCAACAAAAGUACUAGAGGAAGUAUAAGCUUCAACGUUAGAGCAACAAGGCAGGGAAAGUAAUUCAUCACAAGAUGUAGCAACAUUAUGAGUGGAUGAAUUACGAGGACUAGCACAUGGCAAUAUAUCAUUUAGACUUGAAAUAGUGCUAGUAUCAACAUGAGGCUCACUAGAUAUUACCUUAGUCAUCAUAGCCUUAUGAGAUAUCUUUAGCACAUUAUGGGAUACUAGAAGAUCAUCAUGAGAGCUUGUGAGCUUUAUAUGACUUUCUUCCAAUUUCUCAUAAUUGCUAAAUAGCAACUCAAGUUGAGCCCUUAGCUCAACAUUCUCCUUCGAAAUGGAUGCUUCACAAGAAAUAGAGUUAGUAGCACAAGAAUCAUAAUUAACAACAAGAGGAGAAGGCAACUUGGCAAGCUCUUUCGAAUAUGAAGCUUUAAGUUGUGCAUGAGACUCGGUGAGUCCGAUGAGCUCACUCUUAAUGACCCUUGAGCUAUUUUCAAGGUGCCGGAAGUCCUCAAGGAGUUUAGCAUGCGCAAAUUCAAGCUUAUCAUUUUUAGUUUCAAAAUCAUUGGCCACCUCAAGAGCUCUAUCAUGAGAUUCCCUCACUCUAGGUAAUUCUAGAGCAAAAGUCUCCUCAAGAGAUUCCUUGGUGGUUUGUUCAAGUUCAAGAGCUUGAGAUAGGUCCGCAAUCUCAUUAGCGUAAUCACUCUCGUGACCUUCCAUUUUCUCAAUGGUGACCUCAUGCUCCUCGAGAUGAGAUUCCAACUCCUCAAUGUAUUUCUUGCCCUCAAUGGCAAUAGACAUGAUUUCCAUGAAGUUGGAACAAGCAAUUUUAUUCUUAUGAAGAGCUUUCAAAAUCAUUUCCCCUUUAAUUUUUAAGGAGGCAACAUUAUCAUUCUCUUCAUCAAUAUUCUCAUCCUCAUUAGCAUCAACAUCGUCAUCAAGAGAUAUAUUGGGAUUCGAAGUAGGAGAUACCUUCAAAGCCUUAGCCAUAAGGCAAAAGUGAGAAGAAAUAGAUGAUGAUGUAAGAUCCCUUGAAGCACCAAUCAAGACCCCAUCUUGUUCCAUGGAGUGUUGGGUUUCCUCUACAUUGUUAGCACAACAACUAGAGGAAAUAGCGGCAUUUUUAUCAAUGCAACAAGACAUAGCAAGCAUAUCAUCAUGUGAUUUAGUCAAACAAUUUCUACAUGAUAUGCAAGGACUAUCAACACAAGCAUGUGAAAUAUGUAGGGUGCUCGAGGUGUCAACGUCCAAAGAUGAAGCAUUGCAAUAAGAUAGUGAUGAAGAAUCAUCAACAAUAUGCACACUAUCAUCAUUGUAAUGACCAACACUACUCACCGUAUCUUUACCUUGUGGCAAUCCACAUGUAGGUGAAGUAGAAGAAGUUGAGAAGACAACACGGCCUGAGGUGGAGGAAGAACCAUCAUCCCCACAAAACUUGGACAUACCAUAUUUAUCUUGAAGCUCUGUCCACAACUCAUAAGCAUCCCGGAAUGGCAUGAGUUGAAAUAUAACUACAUUGCUCAAAGCAUCGAAAAGCACAUUAGUUUUUCUGAUCCUCUAAAGAUAAUCUUUGGGGAUCCUUUGGAGGAGAAAAACCCAUAUCUACAAUUCGCUCUAAAUUUGGGUCCAUGACCCUAAAGAGAUUAAGCAUGCGAAUUAUCCAAACAUCAAAAUUGUACCAUCAAAACUAAGAGUGUCAGAGAAUCCUAAUCCCCUAGUCGACAUCCUAACUCUCUAGGAGGUUAAACCUAAUAAAAAGAGACGAGGCUCUGAUACCAAUUGAAAGAUCAUGGAUGUUGCCUAGAGGGGGGGGAUAGGCGAUUUAAAAUAAUUACAGUUGAGGCUUGAACAAAUGCGGAAUAAACCUAGCGGUUAAUUUGUCACAAAACCUAAAAAGACUAGGCUCACCUAUGUGCACCAACAACUUAUGCUAAGCAAGAUAAACAACUAUGUCAUAGCAAGAUAUAUGACAAGGAACAAUAUGGCUAUCACAAAGUAAAGUGCAUAAGUAAAGAGCUCGGGUAAGAGAUAACCAAGGCACGCGGAGACGACGAUGUAUCCCGAAGUUCACACCCUUCUGGAUGCUAAUCUCCGUUUGGAGCGGUGUGGAGGCACAAUGCUCCCCAAGAAGUGCUACCUCUUGAGCACUGCGUUGGUUUUCCCUUGAAGAGAAAAGGGUGGUGCAGUAAAGCAGCGUAAGUAUUUCCCUCAGUUUUUGAGAACCAAGGUAUCAAUCCAGUAGGAGGCCACACACGAGUCCCUCGCACCUACACAAACAAAUAAGAUCCUCGCAACCAACACAAUAAAGGGGUUGUCAAUCCCUUCACGGUCACUUACGAAAGUGAGAUCUGAUAGAUAUGAUAAGAUAAUAUUUUUGGCAUUUUUAUGAUAAAGAUGCAAAGUAAAAUAAAAGGCAAUAAAAAUAACUAAGUGUUGGAAGAUUAAUAUGAUGGAAAAUAGACCCGGGGGCCAUAGGUUUCACUAGUGGCUUCUCUCGAGAGCAUAAGUAUUAUGCUGGGUGAACAAAUUACUGUUGAGCAAUUGACAGAAUUGAGCAUAGUUAUGAGAAUAUCUAGGUAUGAUCAUGUAUAUAGGCAUCACGUCCGCGACAAGUAGACCGACUCCUGCCUGCAUCUACUACUAUUACUCCACACAUCGACCGCUAUCCAGCAUGCAUCUAGAGUAUUAAGUUCAAAAGAACGGAGUAACGCUUUAAGUAAGAUGACAUGAUGUAGAGGGAUAAACUCAUGCAAUAUGAUAUAAACCCCAUCUUGUUAUCCUCGAUGGCAAUAAUACAAUACGUGCCUUGCUGCCCCUACUGUCACUGGGAAAGGACACCGCAAGAUUGAACCCAAAGCUAAGCACUUCUCCCAUUGCAAGAAAGAUCAAUCUAGUAGGCCAAACCAAACUGAUAAUUCGAAGAUACUUGCAAAGAUAACCAAUCAUACAUAAAAGAAUUCAGAGAAGAUUCAAAUAUUAUUCAUAGAUAAACUUGAUCAUAAACCCACAAUUCAUCAGUCUCAACAAACACACCGCAAAAGAAGAUUACAUCGAAUAGAUCUCCAUGAGAAUCGUGGAGAACUUUGUAUUGAGAUCCAAAGAGAGAGAAGAAGCCAUCUAGCUAAUAACUAUGGACCCGAAGGUCUGAGGUAAACUACUCACACAUCAUCGGAGAGGCUAUGGUGUUGAUGUAGAAGCCCUCCGUGAUCAAUGCCCCCUCCGUCGGAGCUCUGGAAAAGGCCCCAAGAUGGGAUCUCACGGGUACAGAAGGUUGCGGCGGUGGAAUUAGGUUUUUGGCUCCGUAUCUGGUAGUUUGGGGGUACGUAGGUAUAUAUAGGAGGAAGAAGUACGUCGGUGGAGCAACGUGGGCCCCACGUGGGUGGAGGGCGCGCCCAGGGGGGUAGGCGCGCCCCCUACCUUGUGCCCUCCUGGUUGCUUUCUUGACGUAGGGUCCAAGUCCUCUGGAUCAUGUUUGUUCCAAAAAUCACGUUCCCGAAGGUUUCAUUCCGUUUGGACUCCGUUUGAUAUUCUUUUUCUACGAAACUCUGAAAUAGGCAAAAAACAACAAUUCUGGGCUGGGCCUCCGGUUAAUAGGUUAGUCCCAAAAUGAUAUAAAAGUGUAUAAUAAAGCCCAUUAAACAUCCAAAACAUAAUAUAAUAUAGCAUGGAACAAUCAAAAAUUAUAGAUACGUUGGAGACGUAUCAAGCAUCCCCAAGCUUAAUUCCUGCUCGUCCUCGAGUAGGUAAAUGAUAAAAAGAGAAUUUUUGAUGUGGAAUGCUACUUAGCAUAAUUUCAAUGCAAUUCUUCUUAUUGUGGCACGAAUGUUCAGAUUUGAUAUGAUUCAAUAUAAGUUUAAUGUUGACAUAAAAACAAUAAUACUUCAAGCAUGCUAACCAAGCAAUUAUGUCUUAUCAAAAUAACAUUGCCAAAGCAAGUUAUCCCUACAAAAUCAUAUAGUCUGGCUAUGCUCCAUCUUCCCCACACAAAAUAUUCAUAUCAUGUACAACCCCGGUUUUAGCCAAGCAAUUGGUUCAUACUUUUUAACGCGCUUCAGCCUUUUCAACUCUUACGCAAUACAUGAGCGCAAGCCAUGGAUAUAGCAUUAUGGUGGAAUUAGGUAUAAUGAUAGGGGUUAUGUUGGAAGACAAAAAGGGAGAAAGUCUCACAUCAACGAGGCUAAUCAAUGGGCUAUGGAGAUGCCCAUCAAUUGAUGUCAAUGCAAGGAGUAGGGAUUGCCAUGCAACGGAUGCACUUAGAGCUAUAAGUGUAUGAAAGCUCAAACAAAAGAAAUUAAGUGGGUGUGCAUCCAACUUGCUUACUCAUGAAGACCUCGGGCAUAUGAGGAAGCCCAUCAUUGGAAUAUACAAUCCAAGUUCUAUAAUGAAAUUUCCCACUAGUAUAUGAAAGUGACAAAAUGAGAGACUCUCUAUCAUGAAGAUCACGGUGCUACUCUGAAGCACAAGUGUGGUAAAAGGAUAGUAACAUUGUCCCUUCUCUCUUUUUCUCUCAUUUUUUUAUUUGGGCCUUUUCUCCUUUUUUUAUGGCCUCUUUUUUUAGUCCAGAGUCUCAUCCCGACUCGUGGGGGAAUCGUAGUCUUCAUCAUCCUUUCCUCACUUGGGACAAUGCUUUAAUAAUGAUGAUCAUCACACUUUUAUUUAAUUACAACUCAAUACUUAGAACAAAAUAUGACUCUAUGUGGAUGCCUCCGGCGGUGUACCGGGAUAUGCAAUGAAUCAAGAGCGACAUGUACGAAAGAAUUAUGAAUGGUGGCUUUGCCACAAAUACAAUGUCAACUACAUGAUCAUGCAAAGCAAUAUGACAAUGAUGGAGCGUGUCAUGAUAAACGAAACGAUGGAAAGUUGCAUGGCAAUAUAUCUCGGAAUGGCUAUGGAAAUGACAUAAUAGGUAGGUAUGGUGGCUAUUUUGAGGAAGAUAUAAGGAGGUUUAUGUGUGAUAGAGCGUAUCAUAUCACGGGGUUUGGAUGCACCGGCGAAGUUUGCACCAACUCUCAAGGUGAGAAAGGGCAAUGCACGGUACCGAAGAGGCUAGAAAAUUGCUGAAAGGUAAGUGUGCGUAUAAUCCAUGGACUCACAUUAGUCAUAAAGAACUCAUAUACUUAUUGCAAAAAUUUAUUAGCCCUCGAAGCAAAGUACUACUACGCAUGCUCCUAGGGGAAGGGUUGGUAGGAGUUAACCAUCGCGCGAUCCCGACCGCCACACAAAGGAUGACAAUCAAUAAAUACCUCAUGCUCCGACUUUGUUACAUAACGGUUCACCAUACGUACAUGCUACGGGAAUCACAAACUCCAGCAUAAAUAUUUUUCAAUUCCACAAUUACUCAACUAGCACAACCAUGAUAUUACCACCUUUAUAUCUCAAAACAAUUAUCAAGCAUCAAAUUUCUCAUGAUAUUAUAAUUAAAGCAAAUUGCCAUGCUGUUUUAAGACUCUCAAAAUAAUAUAAGUGAAGCAUGAGAGAUCAAUAGUUUCUAUAAAACAAAUCCACCGCCGUGCUCUAAAAGAUAUAAGUGAAGCACUAGAGCAAACUAUAUAGCUCAAAAAAUAUAAGUGAAGCACAUAGAGUAUUCUAAUAAAUUCCAAUUUAUGUGUGACUCUCUCAAAAGGUGUGUACAGCAAGGAUGAUUGUGGUAAACUAAAAAAAAAGACUCAAAUAAUACAAGACGCUCCAAGCAAAACACAUAUCAUGUGGUGAAUAAAAAUAUAGCUCCAAGUAAAGUUACCGAUGGAAGUAGACGAAAGAGGGGAUGCCUUCCGGGGCAUCCCCAAGCUUUGGCUUUUUGGUGUCCUUAGAUUAUCUUGGGGUGCCAUGGGCAUCCCCAAGCUUAGGCUUUUGCCACUCCUUGUUCCAUAAUCCAUCAAAUCUUUCACCCAAACCUUGAAAACUUCACAACACAAAACUCAGCAGAAAAUCUCGUGAGCUCCGUUAGCGAAAGAAAAGAAAACACCACUUCAAGGUACUGUAAUGAACACAUUAUUUAUUUAUAUUGGUGUUAAACCUACUGUAUUCCAACUUCUCUAUGGUUUAUAAACUAUUUUACUAGCCAUAGAUUCAUCAAAAUAAGCAAACAACACACGAAAAACAGAAUCUGUCAAAAACAGAACAGUCUGUAGUAAUCUGUAACUAAUGCAAACUUCUGGAACUCCAAAAAAUCUACCAAAAUAGGACGACCUAGACAAUUUGUUUAUUGAUAUGCUGCAAUUGGAAUAAAUAUUUUAUCACGUUCUGGUGAUUUUCAACAAUUGUUUUCGUGAACAGAAAGUUUCUGGAAUUUUCAGCAAGAUCAAAUAACUAUCAUCCAAGAAGAUCCUAUAGGUUAAACUUGGCACAAACACUAAUUAAAACAUAAAAACAAAUCUAACCAGAGGCUAGAUCAAAUAUUUAUUCCUAACCAGAAGCAAAAAGCAAAAAAACUAAAAAUAAAAUUGGGUUGCCUCCCAAGAAGCGCUAUCGUUUAACGCCCCUAGCUAGGCAUAAUGGCAAGGAUAGAUCUAGGUAUUGCCAUAAUAAUAGGAUAGAUCAUUAAAACUCAUUUCAUAUUCUCUACGUUCAGCAGCGAGUUUUCUUUGAGGCAAGCAAAAGUAAUCAAAAGGGCUAAAUUUAAUGGGACAAAAGUCCCCAAGAUCAACUUUAGGAGGUAUAGGUUCCCCCCUUCGGCCCUUCGUAUUGCACAACCAAUUCAUCAUUAUAAGCAUUCUUUUGUCAGAACUUUGUGAGCCUAUACUCGAGAGAAUAUCCUAGCUUGUUAUUUUGAAUAGCAAAAUCAUUAUUAAGUUCAGAAAUUCUAUCAACUAGAACAUUGGUAGGAACCUUUUUUCUAAGGUUCUCAUUAAAAGCAACAUAGUCUAGAGAUUGAAAACGCAUUAUGUCCUCUUGAUCAAAUAGGAUAGUUUCUAUGGGAGGACGGCCAGCGUCCACCCUAUAAUGCGCAAAGAUUUCUUUGGCCUCUUUUAUUAUAAAUCUGAACUCAUGAGCCAAAAAAAUAGUAGCGGCACGCUUAACACAAGAAUGCUCAAUAUUAGAAAAUUCUAGGAAAAUCCUUUGUAUGCAAGGGUGCAUGUGCAUAAAUUGCCUUUCAAGUUCAACUACAAGCAUGGCAAUAGCGUCCGCAAGACUACUAGUUCUAUGAAGAAUAGAGCUGCCCAUAGAAGGCAAAGCACCGACACAAGUAAAGAAAUCUUGAAUAACCCCUUUUCCAAUAACAUUACCACUACCAAUUCGGAAUUUUUUUGUAUGUAAGAUAGGGGGUUCUUCAGCAGGAGCAUCAAAAUUUUCCAUGUUAUCACUAUUGUCCAUAUCGAUAGUUUCCCCAAUUUCAGACAUAACGGCAGAAAGUGCGAGGAGCAAAAAGAAAGAGGAAGGCAAACGGAAAAGAGAGGGCGAAUAAAACGGCAAGGGUGAAGUGGGGGAGAGGAAAACGAGAGGCAAAUGCAAAUAAUGUAAUGCGGGAGAUAAGGGUUUGUGAUGGGUACUUGGUAUGUUGACUUUUGCGUAGACUCCCCGGCAACGACGCCAGAAAUCCUUCUUGCUACCUCUUGAGCACUGCGUUGGUUUUCCCUUGAAGAGGAAAGGGUGAUGCAGUAAAGCAGCGUAAGUAUUUCCCACAGUUUUUGAGAACCAAGGUAUCAAUCCAGUAGGAGGCCACACACGAGUCCCUCGCACCUACACAAACAAAUAAGAUCCUCGCAACCAACACAAUAAAGGGGUUGUCAAUCCCUUCACGGUCACUUACGAAAGUGAGAUCUGAUAGAUAUGAUAAGAUAAUUUUUUGGUAUUUUUAUGAUAAAGAUGCAAAGUAAAAUAAAAGGCAAUAAAAAUAGCUAAGUGUUGGAAGAUUAAUAUGAUGGAAAAUAGACCCGGGGGCCAUAGGUUUCACUAGUGGCUUCUCUCGAGAGCAUAAGUAUUACAGUGGGUGCACAAAUUACUGUUGAGCAAUUGACAGAAUUGAGCAUAGUUAUGAGAAUAUCUAGGUAUGAUCAUGUAUAUAGGCAUCACGUCCGCGACAAGUAGACCGACUCCUGCCUGCAUCUACUACUAUUACUCCACAUAUCGACCGCUAUCCAGCAUGCAUCUAGAGUAUUAAGAAAGAAUGGAGUAAUGCUUUAAGUAAGAUGACAUGAUGUAGAGGGAUAAACUCAUGCAAUAUGAUAUAAACCCCAUCUUGUUAUCCUCGAUGGCAACAAUACAAUACGUGCCUUGCUGCCCCUACUGUCACUGGGAAGGGACACCACAAGAUUGAACCCAAAGCUAAGCACUUCUCCCAUUGCAAGAAAGAUCAAUCUAGUAGGCCAAACCAAACUGAUAAUUCGAAGAGACUUGCAAAGAUAACCAAUCAUACAUAAAAGAAUACAGAGAAGAUUCAAAUAUUGUUCAUAGAUAAACUUGAUCAUAAACCCACAAUUCAUCCGUCUCAACAAACACACCGCAAAAGAAGAUUACAUCAAAUAGAUCUCCACGAGAAUCCUGGAGAACUUUGUAUUGAGAUCCAAAGAGAGAGAAGAAGCCAUCUAGCUAAUAACUAUGGACCUGAAGGUCUGAGGUAAACUACUCACACAUCAUCGGAGAGGCUAUGGUGUUGAUGUAGAAGCCCUCCGUGAUCAAUGCCCCCUCCGGCGGAGCUCCGGAAAAGGCCCCAAGAUGGGAUCUCACGGGUACAGAAGGUUGCGGCGGUGGAAUUAGGUUUUUGGCUCCGUAUCUGGUAGUUUGGGGGUACGUAGGUAUAUAUAGGAGGAAGAAGUACGUCGGUGGAGCAACGUGGCCCCAUGAGGGUGGAGGGCGCGCCCAGGGGGGUAGGCACGCCCCCUACCUCGUGCCCUCCUGGUUGCUUUCUUGACGUAGGGUCCAAGUCCUCUGGAUCACGUUUGUUCCAAAAAUCACGUUCCCGAAGGUUUCAUUCCGUUUGGACUCCGUUUGUUAUUCUUUUUCUGCGAAACUCUGAAAUAGGCAAAAACAACAAUUCUGGGCUGGGCCUCCGGUUAAUAGGUUAGUCCCAAAAUGAUAUAAAAGUAUAUAAUAAAGCCCAUUAAACAUCCAAAACAGAAUAUAAUAUAGCAUGGGACAAUCAAAAAUUAUAGAUACGUUGGAGACGUAUCAAGAAGCCACUAGGGCCACCGUAAUCUCCUCACGCUCUCGCACAAUGCAAGAUGUCGUGAUUCCACUAAGGGACCCUUGAGGGCGGUCACCGAACCCGUACAAAUGGCAACCCUUGGGGGCGGUCACCGAACCCGUACACUUUGGCAACCCUUGGGGGCGGUCACCGUAACCCGUCAAAUUGCUCGGGGAGAUCUCCACAACCUAAUUGGAGACCCCGACGCUUGCCCAGAGCUUUACACCACAAUGAUUGAGCUUCGAACACCACCAACCGUCUAGGGCACCCAAGCACCCAAGAGGAACAAGAUCAAGGGUACCAAGCACCCAAGAGUAAUAAGCUACUCAACUUCACUUCCACGUAUCACCGUGGAGAACUCAAACCGAUGCACCAAAUGCAAUGGCAAGGGCACACGGAGUGCCCAAGUCCCUCACUCUCAAAUCCCACCAAAGCAAUGAAAGCUAUGGAGGAAAAUGAGAGGAAGAACAAGAAGGAGAACACCAAGAACUCCAAGAUCUAGAUCCAAGGGGUUCCCCUCACAUAGAGGAGAAAAGUGAUUGGUGGAAAUGUGGAUCUAGAUCUCCUCUCUCUUUCCCCCCAAAAACUAGCAAGAAUCCAUGGAGGAAUUGAGAGAUAGCAAGCUCCAAGAGGUCAACAAUGGUGGGGGGAAAACUUGCUCAAAUUUCUUAGGUUGGAGGAGGAAGAAGGGGGUAUAAAUACCCCCAAGAAAAAUAUGACCGUUGUCCCCCGGGCACCCGGACAAAGGGGUCCGGGCACCCGGACAACCCAGAGAAAAAGCCACUAAACUCCGAGCACCUGGGGGAAAACUCCGGGAACCCGAACGAACAAGGGAAGCACAGCGACAGGGGGGCGGGCACCCGGAGGUCCCAACCUCGGGACCCGGAGGGAGCUGAGAGGAGGAGGCGGAGGAGCCCGGGCACCCGGGUCCAAGACCCCGGGCACCCGAGGUGAUCAGAGGAGGUGAGGGAGCUCCCCGGAUGACCCCGGGCACCCAAGGGGCAAGACCCCGGGCAUCCGGACCGGCCAGAGAGGUCACUAAGGAGGGGCUCGGGUGACCCCGGGCACCCGCACUAGGCAGAGAGAAGUGGGAACCGGUAAAAUUGAAACGACCACAACUUUUGCAAACGAACUCCGAAUUUGAUGAAACCAAGUUUGAUGGAAAGCUAAAGACAAGGGCUAACACAGUAUUGAUAGAAAUAUAGAGAAAUAUCAAUUGAGAAAAUACCCAAAAUAAAAUGGUGAGAACCCUUUCUCAAAUAAUACCGGUAAAAACUCAAACACCGAAAACGCAAAAGAAGAUGCAUAGGAAAUCGGUUUUCGAUGAACUAGAGCUUGUCACGGAGAUAACCACAAUCUCUAAAACCUCACAAAGAGAAUAUCCAAACAAGAACCAACAAAUAUGAUGAUGCCCAGAAUGCAAUGGUUUGAGCUCUCCCCAAACGAUACGAUCAAGCUACUCACUCGAGAGCCCCCCUUGAUAGUACAGCUAUCGAUCCUAUGAUCCGGUCUCCCAACUAACACCAUGAGACCGGUAAAAUAGAAAAAAUAUCAAGGACAAACCUUUUUCUUGCACAUAGUACACUUGAGCUAGAUGAUGACAGUCUUGACUCCCUCAAGUUGGACCACCUUUCUUCAUUGCAUUGGCUCGGUGAAGAUUAGUAGAUUGCUCCCCCAUACUCCACUAUGGGUGAGCCACUCUUCCGAACAUCUUCGCAAGUCCAUUGUCACCACAAUGGAGGACAAACUUAAAGCAUGAUCUCUUCAUGAUGCUCCACUCUUCGAGAUGCUCCACUUGAACUUGCACACCGCAAUCUUGAUGACGAUCACCACUUGAUGUCAUCCUCCAUGGGUUGUAUGAGAUCUUCCUCAUACCAUGGGAUCACUUGAUCCCUUUCGGUACAUGUUCUUGAAGGAAAUAUGCCAUAGAGGCAAUAAUAAAGUUGUUAUUUAUAUUUCCUCAUAUCAUGAUAAAUGUUUAUUAUUCACGCUAGAAUUUUAUUAACCGGAAACUUAGUACAUGUGUGAAUACAUAGACAAACAAAGUGUCACUAGUAUGCCUCUACUUGACUAGCUCGUUAAUCAAGGAUGGUUAAGUUUCCUAGCCAUAGACAUGAGUUUUCAUUUGAUGAACGAGAUCACAUAGUUAGAGAAUGAUGUGAUUGACAUGACCCAACCGUUAGCUUAGCACUAUGAUCGUUUAGUUUAUUACCAUUGCUUUCUUCAUGACUUAUACAUGUUCCUAUGACUAUGAGAUUAUGCAACUCCCGAAUACCGGAGGAACACUUAGUGUGCUAUCAAACGUCACAACGUAACUGGGUGAUUAUAAAGAUGUUCUACAGGUGUCUCCAAUGGUGUUUGUUGAGUUGGCAUAGAUCGAGAUUAGGAUUUGUCACUCCGAUUGUCGGAGAGGUAUCUCUGGGCCCUCUCGAUAAUACACAUCACUAUAAGCCUUGCAAGAAAUGUAACUAAUGAGUUAGUUACGGAUGAUACAUUGCGGAACGAGUAAAGAGAAUUGCCGGUAACGAGAUUGAACUAGGUAUAGUGAUACCGAUGAUCGAAUCUCGGGCAAGUAACAUACCGAUGACAAAGGGAACAACGUAUGUUGUUAUGCGGUUUGACCGAUAAAGAUCUUCGUAGAAUAUGUGGUAGCCAAUAUGAGCAUCCAGGUUCCUCUAUUGGUUAUUGACCGGAGAUGAGUCUCGGUCAUGUCUACAUAGUUCUCGAACCGGUAGGGUCCGCACGCUUAACGUUCGAUGACGAUUGGUAUUAUGAGUUUAUGUGUUUUGAUGUACCUAAGGUAGUUCGGAGUCCCGAAUGAGAUCACGGACAUGACGAGGAGUCUCGAAAUGGUUGAGACAUGAAGAUUGAUAUAUUGGAUGACUAUAUUCGGACACCGAAAUAGUUUCGAGGUGUAUUGGGUAUUUUUCGGAGUACCGGGGGGUUACCGGAACCCCCUGGGAGUUAUUGGGCCUCAUGGGCCUAGUAGUGGAAGAGAGGAGGCAGGCCAAAGGGUGGCGCGUGCCCCCCUAGCCCAAACUGAAUUGGACUAGGAGGGCCGCCCCCCUUUCCUUCUCUCCUCCCUCUCCUUCCCCCUUCUCCUUGUUGGAAUAGGAAAGGGGGGGCCGAAUCCUACUUGGAGUAGGAUUGCCCCCCCAUGGCGCGCCUCCUCCUCCUGGCCGGCCUCCUCCUCCCUCCUUCCUUUAUAUACGUGGGAGGGGGCACCCCAAAGGCACACUAAAGUUUCUCUUAGCUGUGUGCGGUGCCCCCUCCACAGAAACACACCUUGGUCAUAUCGUCGUAGUGCUUAGGCGAAGCCCUGCGCCGCUAACUUCAUCAUCACCGUCAUCACGCCGUCGUGCUGACGAAACACUCCCUCGGCCUCAUCUGGAUCAAGAGUUCGAGGGACGUCACCGAGCUAUACGUGUGCAGAUCGCGGAGGUGCCGUGCGUUCGGUACUUGAUCGGUUGGAUCGCGAAGACGUUAGACUACAUCAACCGCGUUACUAAAUGCUUCCGCUUUCGGUCUACGAGGGUACGUGGACACACUCUCCCUGCUCGUUGCUAUGCUUCUCCUAGAUAGAUUUUGCGUGAUCGUAGGCAAAUUUUUGAAAUACUACGUUCCCCAACAGUGGCAUCCGAGCCAGGUCUAUGCGUAGAUGUUAUAUGCACGAGUAGAACACAAAGAGUUGUGGGCGAUGAUAGUCAUACUAUUUACUAGCAUGUCAUACUUUGAUUCGGCGGUAUUGUUGGAUGAAGCGGCCCAGACUGACAUUACAUGACCGCGUUCAUGAGACUGGUUCUACCGCCGUGCUUCGCACACAGGUGGCUAGUGGGUGUCUGUUUCUCCAACUUUAGCUGAAUCGAGUGUGACUACGCCCGGUCCUUGUUGAAGGUUAAAACAGCACAAAAAAAUGUUGUGGUUUUGAUGCGUAGGUAAGAACGGUUCUUGCUAAGCCCGUAGCAGCCACGUAACACUUGCAACAACAAAGUAGAGGACGUCUAACUUGUUUUUACAGGGCAUGUUGUGAUGUGAUAUGGUCAAGACAUGAUGAUAUAUAAAUUGUUGUAUGAGAUGACCAUGUUUUGUAUAAGUUAUCGGCAACUGGCAGGAGCCUUAUGGUUGUCGCUUUAUUGUAUGAAAUGCAAUCGCCAUGUAAUUGCUUUACUUUAUCACUAAGCGGUAGCGAUAGUCGUAGAAGCAAUAGUUGGCGAGACGACAACGGUGCUUCGAUGGAGAUCAAGGUGUCAAGCCGGUGAUGAUGGUGAUCAUGACGGUGCUUUGGAGAUGGAGAUCAAAGGCACAAGAUGAUGAUGGCCAUAUCAUAUCACUUAUAAUGAUUGCAUGUGAUGUUUAUCCUUUAUGCAUCUUAUUUUGCUUAGUUCGGUGGUAGCAUUAUAAGAUGAUCUCUCACUAAAUUUCAAGGUAUAAGUGUUCUCCCUGAGUAUGCACCGUUGCGACAGUUCACCGUGCCGAGACACCAUGUGAUGAUCGGGUGUGAUAAGUCUACGUUCACAUACAACGGAUGCAAGCCAGUUUUGCACACGCAGAAUACUCGGGUUAAACUUGACAAGCCUAGCAUAUGCAGAUAUGGCCUCGGAACACUGAGAUCGAAAGGUCGAGCAUGAAUCAUAUAGUAGCUAUGAUCAACAUAGUGAUGUUCACCAUUGAAAGCUACUCUAUCUCACGUGAUGACCGGACAUGGUUUAGUUGAUAUGGAUCACGUGAUCACUUAGAUGAUUAGAGGGAUGUCUAACUAAGUGGGAGUUCUUAAGUAAUAUGAUUAAUUGAACUUUAAUUUAUCAUGAACUUAGUACUUGAUAGUAUUUUGCAUGUCUAUGUUGUUGUAGAUCAAUGGCCCGUGCUACUGUUCAUUUGAAUUUUAAUGCGUUCCUAGAGAAAGCUAAGUUGAAAGAUGAUGGUAGCAACUACACGGACUGGGUCUGUAACUUGAGGAUUAUCCUCAUUGCUGCACAGAAGAAUUACGUCCUGGAAGCACCGCUAGGUGCAAGACCCGCUGCAAGAGCAACACCAGAUGUUGUGAACGCUUGGCAGAGCAAAGCUGAUGACUACUCGAUAGUUCAGUGUGCCAUGCUUUACGGCUUAGAACCGGGACUUCAACGACGUUUUGAACGUCAUGGAGCAUAUGAGAUGUUCCAGGAGUUGAAGUUAAUAUUUCAAGCAAAUGCCCGGAUUGAGAGAUAUGAAGUCUCCAAUAAGUUCUAUAGCUGCAAUGGAGGAGAAUAGUUAUGUCAGUGAACAUAUACUCAAAAUGUCUGGAUAUCAUAAUCACUUGACUCAACUAGGAGUUAAUCUUCCGGUUGAUAGUGUCAUUGACAAAGUUCCUCAAUCACUGCCACAAGCUACAAAAGCUUCGUAAUGAACUAUAAUAUGAAAGGGAUGGAUAAGACGAUUCCCGCUCUUCGCAAUGCUAAAGGCUGCGGAGGUAGAAAUCAAGAAGGAGCAUCAACUGUUGAUGGUCAACAAGACCACUAGUUUCAAGAAAAAGGGCAAAGGGAAGAAGGGGAACUUCAAGAAGAACGGCAAGCAAGUUGCUGCUCAAGUGAAGAAGCCCAAGUCUGGACCUAAGCCUGAGACUGAGUGCUUCUACUGCAAAGGGACUAGUCACUGGAAGCGGAACUGCCCCAUGUAUUUUGCGGAUAAGAAGGAUGGCAAAGUGAAAGGUAUAUUUGAUAUACAUGUUAUUGAUGUGUACCUUACUAAUGCUCGCAGUAGUGCCUGGGUAUUUGAUACUGGUUCUGUUGCUCAUAUUUGCAACUCGAAAUAGGGGCUACGGAUUAAGCGAAGAUUGGCUAAGGACGAGGUGACGAUGCGCGUGGGAAAUGGUUCCAAAGUCGAUGUGAUCGCUGAUGACCCACAAGUAUAGGGGAUCUAUCGUAGUCCUUUAGAUAAGCAAGAGUGUCGAACCCAACGAGGAGCAGAAGGAAAUGAUAAGCGGUUUUCAGCAAGGUAUUCUCUGCAAGCACUGAAAUUAUAGGUAACAGAUACUUUUUUGAUAAAAUAAUUUGUAAUGAGCAACAAGUAACAAAAGUAAAUAAAGUGCAGGAAGGUGGCCCAAUCCUUUUUGUAGCAAAGGACAAGCCUGGACAAACUCUUACAUAGAGAAAAGCGAUCCCGAGGACACAUGGGAAUUAUCGUCAAGCUAGUUUUCAUCACGUUCAUAUGAUUCGCGUUCGGUACUUUGAUAAUUUGAUAUGUGGGUGGACCGGUGCUUGGGUGCUGUCCUUACUUGGACAAGCAUCCCACUUAUGAUUAACCCCUAUUGCAAGCAUCCGCAACUACAAAAGAAGUAUUAAGGUAAACCUAACCAUAGCAUGAAACAUAUGGAUCCAAAUCAGCCCCUUACGAAGCAACGCAUAAACUAGGGUUUAAGCUUCUGUCACUCUAGCAACCCAUCAUCUACCUAUUACUUCCCAAUGCCUUCCUCUAGGCCCAAAUAACGGUGAAGUGUCAUGUAGUCGGCGUUCACAUAACACCACUAGAGGAGAGACAACAUACAUCUCAUCAAAAUAUCAAACGAAUACCAAAUUCACAUGACUACUACUAGCAAGACUUCUCCCAUGUCCUCAGGAACAAAUGUAACUACUCACAAAGCAUAUUCAUGUUCAUAAUUAGAGGGGUAUUAAUAUGCAUAAUGGAUCUGAACAUAUGAUCUUCCACCAAAUAAACCAACUAGCAUCAACUACAAGGAGUAAUCAACACUACUAGCAACCUACAGGUACCAAUCCCAGACUUGGAGACAAGAAUUGGAUACAAGAGAUGAACUAGGGUUUGAGAGGAGAUGGUGCUAGUGAAGAUGUUGAUGGAGAUUGGCCCUCUCCCGAUGAGAGGAGCGUUGGUGAUGACGAUGGCGAUGAUUUUCCCCCUCCCGGGGGGAAGUGUCCCCGGCAGAACGGCUCCGCCAGAGCCCUAGAUUGGUUCCGCUAAGGUUAUGCCUCGUGGCGGCGGAGUCUCGUCCCGAAAGCUUGCUUCUGAUUUUUCUUCGGACAAAAGACUUCAUAUAGCAGAAGAUGGCCACAGGAGGGCCAACAGGGGGCCCACGAGGCAGGGGGCGCGCCCAGGGGGGUAGGGCGCGCCCCCCACCCUCGUGGCCAGGGUGUGGGCCCCCUCUGGUAUUUCUUCCGCUCAGUAUUUUUUUAUUAUUUCCAAAAAUAACUUCCGUGGAGUUUCAGGACUUUUGGAGUUGUGCAGAAUAGGUCUCUAAUAUUUUCUCCUUUUCCAGCUCAGAAUUCCAGCUGCCGGCAUUCUCCCUCCUUAUGUAAACCUUGUAAAAUAAGAGAGAAUAGGCAUAAGUAUUGUGACAUAAUGUGUAAUAACAGCCCAUAAUGCAAUAAAUAUCGAUAUAAAAGCAUGAUGCAAAAUGGACGUAUCAACUCCCCCAAGCUUAGACCUCGCUUGUCCUCAAGCGGAAGCCGAUAACGAUAAAUAUGUCCACAUGUUUAGAGGUAGAGGUGUCGAUAAAAUAAAAUACGGACAUGAGGGCAUCACGAUUAUUCUCAUAACAGCAACAUAUAUGGAUAAUGUCAUCUGAUUUCUUAUGCUCAAGUAAUAAUCUAUUCACAAUGCAAAGUAUGAAUCAGAAACUUUAUUGAGAACUAACAAACUAUAAUCUCAGUCACUGAAGCAAUUGCAAUUUAUCAUAACAUCGGAAAGAGUCUAUGUCAGAGCUUUUUAGCAAGUCCACAUAAUCAACUAUCAUUUAGUCUUUCACAAUUGCUAACACUCACGUAAUACUUGUGGUUACGGAGUUUUAAUCGAACACAGAGAAAGAUAGGGGCUUAUAGUUUCGCCUCCCAACCUUUUACCUCAAGGGUAAUGUCAACAAUAAUAGUUCAUGCUAACUUACAUCCAAUUAGAUAUAUAUAUAUAUAUCAGGAUCUUUCCAACACACUAUGCUUGCCAAAGGAUAAAAUGUAAAAAGGAAAGGUGAAGAUCACCAUGACUCUUGCAUAAGGGUAAGCGAUAAAAGUAAAAGAUAGGCCCUUUGCAGAGGGAAGCAGAGGUUGUCAUGCGCUUUCAGGGUUGGAUGCUCAAAAUCUUAAUGCGAAAGAACGUCACUUUAUAUUUCCACUUGUGAUAUGAACCUUUAUUAUGCAGUCCGUCGCUUUUAUUUCUUCCACAUCACAAGAUCGUAUAAAGCUUAUUUCCUCCACACUAAUCAAUCAUACAUAUUUAGAGAGCAAUUUUUAUUGCUUGCACCGAUGACAACUUACUUGAAGGAUCUUACUCAAUCCAUAGGUAGAUAUGGUGGACUCUCAUGGCAAAACUGGGUUUAAGGGUAUUUGGAAGCACAAGUAGUAUCUCUACUUGGUGCAAAGAAUUUGGCUAGUAUGAGGGGGAAAGGCAAGCUCAACAUGUUAGAUGAUCCAUGACAAUAUACUUUAUCUCAGAUAUAAGAAAACAUAACCCAUUAUGUUGUCUUCCUUGUCCAACACCAACUCUUUAGCAUGUCAUACUUUAAUGAGUGCUCACAAUCAUAAAAGAUGUCCAAUAUAGUAUAUUUAUAUCUGAAACCUCUCUUUCUUUAUUACUUCCUAUUAAUUGCAACGAUGACCAAAGCUAUGUUUGUCAACUCUCAACAACUUUUAAUCAUCAUACUCUUUCCAUGUGAAGUCAUUACUCUCAAUAAGAUCAAUAUGAUCUCUUUUCGUUUCUUUUUAUUCUUUCUUUUUCUUUUAUUCCCUCAAGAUCAUAGCAAAAUAGUCAAGCCCUUGACUCAACACUAAUCUUUAUUAUAUAGCUCACAGACUCGAUUACAUAGAGGGAUCAUAAGGCAAAACUCAAAACUAGAUCAUACCAAAAACUUUAUUCUACUAGAUCAAGAUAUUACUAAGGGGCCAUUUGCAUUUCUGUCCGUAACUCGAACCACCUAAUCAGAUAUACCCCUAAUUCAAAAGCCUGCUCAAAUUUACCCCUCCGCCGUUAGGUGCCCUUAUAGAAAUGCCCUUCUGCGUCGUUACCGUCCGGUCAAACAACUUUGACCAUCCUGAAAAAAAUAGCAAAAAAUUCUAAAAAUUCUAAAAUUUUGUGAGAUCGAAGAUUCUCAUGUGCCCAAGGUGUGUGCAAAUUUUCGUGCUAUUUGGACAUUCCAGGAGCUCGUGGCGAGGAAAAACAGUUAAUCUGCACGCUUGUGAACAGUAAAUUUGAAAUAAAAUAGCAAGAAAAUUUUGAAAAAUAUGAAUUUUUUUGGCAUCAAAGUGGCUUGUGUGCACAAGGUGCUUGCAAGUUUUUUGUGAUCAAAUGACAUGCGAGGAGCUCUAGCAAGAAAAAACAAAAUAGUCAUUUUUUCCCAAGCAAAUUUUGUUUUUUUCUCCACAAGCCCCUUCAAUGUCCAAACACAAAAAAAAAUUGCACGCAGCUUGCAGACCCGAGCCUCUUUGAUGCCAAAAAAUUUCAUAUUUUUUUGAAUUUUCCUACUUUUUUUUGAAUUUACUGUUCACAGGCUUACAUAUUUAUUGUUUUUCCUCUAACACGACCUCCUAGAAUGUACAAACAGCACGAAACUUUGCACGCACCUUGCGAACCUGAGUAUUUUUGAUCCCACAAAUUUCCAGAUUUUUAAGAUUUUUUUUGCUAUUUUUUUCAGGACGGUCAAAGCCCUUUGACCGGCUUUGACUUGCUUUGACCGGACGGUAACGGCACCGAAGGGUAUUUCUGUAAGUGCACCUAAUGGCGGAGGGGCAAAUUUGAGCAGGCUUUGAAAUUAGGGGUAAAUUUGAGAGUGGGCGCAAAUUAGGGGCAUAGAUGUAAAUGUCCCAUAAGCGAAUCGUAUCCUGAGGGGCAUUAUCGCUAAGAAUAUCACAUCACCUUCCCCGAAGAAGGAGACAUAAUCACAUGGGUAUAGGCACUCCCCUUGGCAACUGCCAAGCUUGGGGGAGGUGCCCCGGUAUCGUAUCACCAUCACACUCCUAUCUUUACCGUUUUUCUUAGUUCGAUCCUCUUAGUAAUGGCCCAUCUCUUAUUGAGUUGCUGCUUGAGAUCCAUUAUCUCCUUACGAAGCUUCCCUAUAACGGCUAAAGCUCCUUGCACCCAAGGGUGUUGCAUAGCUGUGGGAGAACAAGUGACACUCUUCUUCAUAUUUUCAUAAGAAAGUAAUCUAACAUUGGAAGGGAUAACCGAGUUUGGAAUAGCCGAGCUCUGUAGUUCCCCCAUCGUGAAUCCAGCUCGGAAGCGAGAAGUGACUUCUUGAUCCUCCUCCAUGGCAUCUAUCCUCUUCAAAUCAGCCUCCAUCUCUUCCUCCGUUGCUGGCCCAAAGUGGUCAGCAACGCUGUUUGUCCUUGGUCUUGAUGUCGGAUGAGACACUCGGCUCUCCCCGACUGACUCUUGAGAAGACAUCUUGCUCUAAUAUGCAGCAGCAACAGCUUGAAACAAGAACAGAGGAUAUUUGCGUGAUACAGGAGUCAAAACCUUCGGGAGAUUAUAUAAUGAAUUUUUACCGACCAAAAUAAGUAUCGUGCAAGAAAACGGAGUCCGGAGAGCACACGAGGUGCCCACGAGGCAGGGGGGCGCGCCCAGGGGGGUAGGGCGCGCCCUCCACCCUCGUGGAGGCCUCGUGUCCUUCCCGGAUUGCUUCUUACUUUUCUAUUUUUCUAAAUAUUCCAAAACGGAGAAAAAUUGUCAUUAGAACUGUUUUGGAGUCGGUUUACUUACCAUACCACAUACCUAUUCCUUUUCGGAGUCUGAAACGUUCCGGAAAGUGUCCCUUAUGUAUUCCUCCGGGGUUAUGGUUUCAAUAACAUUGGUUUCAACAUUUAUAGGAUUACCUGAGAUAUAAUGUUUGAUUCUUUGACCGUUCACCACCUUCGGAUUUGUGCCUUCGAAGUUGUUGAUUUUUAUGGCACCGGAAUGAUAGACCUCCUCGAUAACGUAAGGACCUUCCCAUUUAGAGAGAAGUUUUCCUGCAAAAAAUCUCAAACGAUAGUUGUAUAGCAAUACAUAGUCACCUACAUUAAACUCACGCUUUUGUAUUCUUUUGUCAUGCCAUCUUUUAACUUUUUCUUUAAACAACUUGGCAUUCUCAUAGGCUUGGGUUCUCCAUUCAUAAAGUGAGCUAAUGUCAAAUAACCUCUUCUCACCGGCAAGUUUGAAAUCAUAGUUGAGCUCUUUAAUAGCCCAAUAUGCCUUAUGUUCUAGUUCAAGAGGUAAGUGACAUGCUUUUCCAUAAACCAUUUUAUACGGAGACAUACCCAUAGGAUUUUUAUAUGCAGUUCUAUAGGCCCAUAAUGCAUCAUCAAGUUUCUUGGACCAAUUAUUUCUAGAUCUAUUAACAGUCUUUUGCAAAAUUAAUUUGAGUUCUCUAUUACUCAAUUCUACUUGACCGCUAGACUGUGGGUGAUAAGGAGAUGCAAUUCUAUGAUUAACAUCAUAAUUAGCAAGCAUUUUACGGAAAUCACCAUGAAUAAAAUGUGAACCACCAUCAGUCAUUAAAUAUCUAGGGACUCCAAACCUCGGAAAAAUAACUUCUUUAAGCAUCUUAAUAGAGGUGUUACGAUCAGCACUACUAGUUGGAAUAGCUUCUACCCACUUAGUAACGUAAUCAACAGCAACUAAAAUAUGUGUAUAUCCAUUGGAGGCAGGAAAAGGUCCCAUAUAAUCAAAGCCCCAAACAUCAAAUGGUUCAAUAACAAGUGAAUAAUUCAUAGGCAUUUCUUGACGUCUACUAAUAUUACCAAUUCUUUGACAUUCAUCACAAGAUAAGACAAACUUACGGGCAUCCUUGAAGAGAGUAGGCCAAUAAAAACCGGAUUGCAAUACCUUAUGUGCAGUUCUAUCUCCAGCGUGGUGUCCUCCAUAAGCUUCGGAGUGACACUUGCGUAGGAUCUGUUCCUGUUCAUGCUCAGGUACAUAACGUCUAAUGACACCAUCUACUCCUUCUUUAUAAAGAUGUGGGUCAUCCCAGAAGUAAUGUCUCAAAUCAUAGAAAAACUUUUUCUUUUGCUGGUAUGUGAAACUAGGUGGUAUGAAUUUAGCAACAAUGUAAUUAGCAUAAUCAGCAUACCAAGGAGCAGUACGAGAAGCAUUUAUGACACUUAAUUGUUCAUCAGCAAAGCUAUCAUCAAUAGGUAGUGGGUCAUCGAGAACAUUUUCUAACCUAGACAAGUUGUCUGCAACGGGGUUCUCAGCUCCCUUUCUAUCAAUAAUAUGCAAAUCAAAUUCUUGUAGCAAGAGAACCCAUCUAAUAAGUCUAGGUUUAGCAUCUUUCUUUUCCAUAAGAUAUUUAAUAGCAGCAUGAUCAGUGUGAAUAGUUACUUUAGAAUCAACAAUGUAUGGUCUGAACUUAUCAGAAGCAAAUACAACUGCUAAGAAUUCUUUUUCAGUAGUAGCAUAAUUUCUCUGAGCAUUGUCUAGAUUUUACUAGCAUAUUGAAUAACAUUUAAUUUCUUCUCAACUCUUUGCCCUAGAACAGCACCUACAGCAUAAUCACUAGCAUCACACAUAAUUUCAAAGGGUAAAUUCCAACCAGGUGGCUGAACAAUAGGUGCAGAAAUUAAUGCUUUCUUAAGUAUUUCAAAUGCUUCUACACAAUCAUCAUCAAAGACGAAUGGUAUAUCUUUUUGUAAUAAAUUAGUCAAAGGCCAAGAAAUUUUUGAGAAGUCCUUAAUGAACCUCCUAUAAAAUCUGGGGUGACCAAGGAAACUUCUUAUACCUUUGAUGUCCUUGGGACAUGGCAUCUUUUCAAUAGCAUCAACUUUAGCUUUAUCAACUUCAAUGCCCCUUUCAGAAAUUUUAUGCCCCAAGACAAUACCUUCAUUAACCAUAAAGUGGCACUUCUCCCAAUACAAGACAAGGUUAGUUUCUUCACAUCUCUGCAAAACUCGAUCAAGGUUGCUUAAGCAAACAUCAAAAGAGGAUCCAUAAACGGAGAAAUCAUCCAUGAAAACCUCACAAAUCUUUUUCACAAAAGUCAGAGAAUAUAGCCAUCGUGCAUCUUUGAAAGGUAUCAGGUGCAUUACAUAAACCAAAAGGCAUACGUCUAUAAGCAAAAGUACCGAAAGGACAAGUAAAUGUGGUCUUAGCUAGAUCAUCAGCUGACACAGGUAUUUGAGAGAAACCAGAAUAACCAUCUGGAAAGCAGAAGUGUGUAUGUUUGGAUAAUCUUUCUAGCAUUUGAUCAAUAAAAGGUAAGGGGUAAUGAUCUUUUUUAGUAGCUUUAUUUAAUUUGCGAAAAUCAAUUACCAUCCUAUAACCUGUAAUAAUUCUUUGAGGAAUCAGUUCAUCUUUAUCAUUAGGAACGACCGUAAUACCUCCCUUCUUAGGGACACAAUGGACAUGACUUACCCACUGACUAUCAGCAACGUGAUAGAUUAUACCUGCCUCAAGGAGCUUUAGUAUUUCUUGUCUUACCACUUCUUUCAUCUUAGGAUUCAGCCGUCGUUGAUGAUCAAUAACUGGUUUGGCAUCUUUCUCCAAUUUUAUUUUGUGUUGACAUAGGGUGGGACUAAUGCCCUUAAGAUCAUCAAGAGUAUAUCCAAUGGCAGCACGGUGCUUCUUCAGAGUUUUCAAUAAUUUUUCUUCCUCCUUCUCUGAAAGAUUAGCACUAAUAAUAACAGGAUAUAUUUUCUUUUCAUCAAGAUAAGCAUAUUUAAGAGUAUCAGGCAAUGGUUUAAGCUCAAACACGGGAUCACCCUUGGGUGGAGGAGGAUCCCCUAGGAUUUCAACAGGCAAGUUGUGUUUCAGAAUAGGUCCCUGUUUAAAGAACACUCCAUCUAUUUCCCUUCUUUCAUUCAUAAACAUAUCAUUUUCAUGGUCUAGCAAAUAUUGUUCUAAAGGAUCACUAGGAGGCACGGCAAUAGAAGCAAGACCAAUAAUUUCAUCUUUACUAGGCAAUUCCUCUUCACGGUGUUGUCUACGAAAUUUAGAGAAGUUAAACUCAUGAGACAUAUCACCUAGACCAAUAGUAACAAUGUCCUUUUCACAGUCUAUCUUAGCAUUAACAGUGUUUAAGAAGGGUCUACCAAAUAUAAUGGGACAAAAGCUAUCUUGUGGGGAACCAAGAACAAGAAAAUCAGCAGGAUAUUUAGUUUUCCCACACAAGACUUCAACAUCUCUAACAAUUCCAAUUCGUGAUAUAGUAUCUCUAUUGGCAAGCUUAAUUGUGACAUCAAUAUCUUCUAAAUCAGCAGGUGCAAUAUCAUGCAUAAUUUCUUUGUAUAAGUCAAUAGGUAUUGCACUAGCACUAGCACCCAUAUCACACAAGCCAUGAUAACAAUGAUCUCCUAUUUUAACAGAAAUAACAGGCAUGCCUACCACAUGUCUAUGUUUAUCUUUAGCACAAGGUUUAGCAAUUCUAGCAGUCUCAUCACAGAAAUAAAUAAGAUGCCCAUCAAUAUUAUCAGCCAAGAGAUCUUUAACAAUAGCAAUAUUAGGUUCAACUUUAACUUGCUCAGGAGGUGUACAAGUUCUAAUAUUGCUUUUACGAACCACAAUUGAAGCUUUAACAUGAUCUUUUAUCCUUACAGGAAAAGGUGGUUUCUCAACAUAAGCAGUAGGAACAAUAGGAUCAUUAUAAGUGAUAGUUUUUUCUUCAACUUUAAUAGGUGCAGCUACUUUUACUUCUAUGGGAGGAUGAUAUUUAAACCACUUCUCCUUAGGGAGAUCAACAUGAGUAGCAAAAGAUUCACAGAAAGAAGCUACUAUCUCGGAGUCAAGUCCAUAUUUAGUGCUAAAUUUACGGAAAACAUCAGUAUCCAUAAAAGAUUUAACACAAUCAAACUUAGGUGUCAUACCUGACUCCUUACCUUCGUCGAGGUCCCAAUCUUCAGAGUUGCGUUUAAUUCUUUCCAAUAAAUCCCAUUUGAAUUCAAUAGUCUUCAUCAUAAAAGAGCCAGCACAAGAAGUACCGAGCAUGGUGCGAUUGUUGUCAUAAAGCCGAGCAUAAAAUUUUUGAAUAAUCAUUUCUCUUGAGAGCUCAUGAUUGGGGCAUGAAUAUAACAUUGAUUUAAGCCUCCCCCAAGCUUGAGCGAUGAUUUCUCCUUCGCGAGGCCAAAAAUUAUAUAUAUAAUUACGAUCACAAUGAACAAGAUGCAUAGGAUAAAACUUCUGAUGAAAUUCCAAUUUCAAUCGUUUAUAGUUCCAUGAUCCCAUAUCAUCACAUAGCCUAUACCAUGUCAAUGCAUCUCCCUUCAAAGAUAAAGGGAAGACCUUCUUCUUGAUAACAUCAUCGGGCAUACCUGCAAGCUUAAAUAAUCCACAAACCUCAUCCACAUAGAUUAGGUGCUCAUCAGGAUGUAAUGCUCCAUCUCCUGCAAAAGGAUUAGCUAGCAGUUUUUCUACCAUACCCGAAGGAAUUUCAAAGUAGACAUUUUCAUUUUCAGUAGGUUUAUUAGGUUGAGGAGCAACUCUUUGCUCUACUGGUCGAGAUGAAAAUACCCCGAACAAGUCCCUCAGAGGAUUACUUUCCAUAGCAACAUGUGACAGUAAAUUUCAGCACACUAUAUACAUUUUUCCUUACCAAAUUCCACCUACCAAAGGCGCUUCACUCCCCGGCAACGGCGCCAGAAAAGAGUCUUGAUGACCCACAAGUAUAGGGGAUCUAUCGUAGUCCUUUCGAUAAGUAAGAGUGUCGAACCCAACAAGGAGCAGAAGGAAAUGAUAAGCGGUUUUCAGCAAGGUAUUCUCUGCAAGAACUGAAAUUAUAGGUAAUAGAUAGUUUUGUGAUAAAAUAAUUUGUAAACAAGUAACAAAAGUAAAUAAAGUGCAGCAAGGUGGCCCAAUCCUUUUUGUAGCAAAGGACAAGCCUGGACAAACUCUUAUAUAGAGAAAAGCGCUCCCGAGGACACAUGGGAAUUAUCGUCAAGCUAGUUUUCAUCACGUUCAUAUGAUUCGUGUUCGGUACUUUGAUAAUUUGAUAUGUGGGUGGACCGGUGCUUGGGUGCUGUCCUUACUUGGACAAGCAUCCCACUUAUGAUUAACCCCUAUUGCAAGCAUCCGCAAUUACAAAAUAAGUAUUAAGGUAAACCUAACCAUAGCAUGAAACAUAUGGAUCCAAAUCAGCCCCUCACGAAGCAACGCAUAAACUAGGGUUUAAGCUUCUGUCACUCUAGCAACCCAUCAUCUACUUAUUACUUCCCAAUGCCUUCCUCUAGGCCCAAAUAAUGGUGAAGUGUCAUGUAGUCGACGUUCACAUAACACCACUAGAGGAGAGACAACAUACAUCUCAUCAAAAUAUCGAACGAAUACCAAAUUCACACGACUACUACUAGCAAGACUUCUCCCAUGUCCUCAGGAACAAACGUAACUACUCACAAAGCAUAUUCAUGUUCAUAAUCAGAGGGGUAUUAAUAUGCAUAAUGGAUCUGAACAUAUGAUCUUCCACCAAAUAAACCAACUAGCAUCAACUACAAGGAGUAAUCAACACUACUAGCAACCUACAGGUACCAAUCCCAGACAUAGAGACAAGAAUUGGAUACAAGAGAUGAACUAGGGUUUGAGAGGAGAUGGUGCUGGUGAAGAUGUUGAUGGGGAUUGGCCCUCUCCCGAUGAGAGGAGCGUUGGUGAUGACGAUGGCGAUGAUGUCCCCCUCCCGGAGGGAAGAGUCCCCGGUAGAACGGCUCUGCCAGAGCCCUAGAUUGGGUCCGCCAAUGUUCCGCCUCGUGGCGGCGGAGUCUCGUCCCGAAAGCUUGCUUCUGAUUUUUCUUCGGACGAAAGACUUCAUAUAGCAGAAGAUGGCCACAGGAGGGCCAACAGGGGGCCCACGAGGCAGGGGGCGCGCCCAGGGGGUAGGGCGCGCCCCCACCCUUUUGGCCAGGGUGUGGGCCCCUCUGGUAUUUCUUCUGCUCAGUAUUUUUUAUUAUUUCCAAAAAUAACUUCCGUGGAGUUUCAGGACUUUUGGAGUUGUGCAGAAUAGGUCUCUAAUAUUUGCUCCUUUUCCAGCCCAGAAUUCCAGCUGCCGGCAUUCUCCCUCCUUAGGUAAACCUUGUAAAAUAAGAGAGAAUAGACAUAAGUAUUGUGACAUAAUGUGUAAUAACAGCCCAUAAUGCAAUAAAUAUCGAUAUAAAAGCAUGAUGCAAAAUGGACGUAUCAAUCGCCGUCGGCAUGCUACCUCUACAUCUACCUUCCGGAUUAGUUUUAGACCUGAAUAAUUGUUAUUUGGUGCCAGCGUUAAGCAUGAACAUUAUAUCUGGAUCUUGUUUGAUGCGAGACGGUUAUUCAUUUAAAUCAGAGAAUAAUGGUUGUUCUAUUUAUAUGAGUAAUAUCUUUUAUGGUCAUGCACCCUUGAUGAGUGGUCUAUUUUUGUUGAAUCUCGAUAGUAGUGACACACAUAUUCAUAGUAUUGAAGCCAAAAGAUAUAAGUUUAAUAAUGAUAGUGCAACUUAUUUGUGGCACUACCGUUUGGGUCAUAUUGGUGUAAAGUGCAUGAAGAAACUCCAUGCUGAUGGGCUUUUAGAAUCACUUGAUGCUUGCGAACCAUGCCUCAUGGGCAAGAUGACUAAGACUCCGUUCUCCGGAACAAUGGAGCGAGCAACAGACUUGUUGGAAAUAAUACAUACUGAUGUAUGCAGUCCGAUGAGUGUUGAGGCUCGCGGCGGGUAUCGUUAUUUUCUUACCUUCACAGAUGAUUUGAGCAGAUAUGGGUAUAUCUACUUGAUGAAACAUAAGUCUGAAACAUUUGAAAAGUUCAAAGAAUUUCAGAGUGAAGUGGAAAAUCAUCGUAACAAGAAAAUAAAGUUUCUACGAUCUGAACGUGGAGGAGAAUAUUUGAGUUACGAGUUUGUUCUUCAUUUGAAACAAUGCGGAAUAGUUUCGCAACUCACGCCACCCGGAACACCACAACAUAAUGGUGUGUCCGAACAUCGUAACCACACUUUAUUAGAUAUGGUGCGAUCUAUGAUGUCUCUUACUGAUUUCCUGCUGUCGUUUUGGGGUUAUGCUUUAGAGACGGCUGCAUUCACGUUAAAUAGGGCACCAUCUAAAUCCGUUGAGACGACACCAUAUGAAUUGUGGUUUGGCAAGAAACCCAAGUUGUCGUUUCUUAAAGUUUGGGGCUGCGAUGCUUAUGUGAAAAAGCUUCAACCUGAUAAGCUCGAACCCAAAUCGGAGAAAUGUGUCUUCAUAGGAUACCGAAUAGAGACUAUUGGGUACACAUUCUAUCAUAGAUCCGAAGGCCAGAUAUUCGUUGCUAAGAAUGGAUCCUUUCUAGAGAAGGAGUUUAUCUCGAAAGAAGUGAGUGGGAGGAAAGUAGAACUUGAUGAGGUAACUAUACCUUCUCCCCUAUUGGAAAGUAGUUCAUCAAAGAAAUCAGUUCCUGUGAUUCCUACACCAAUUAGCGAGGAAGCUAAUGAUAAUGAUCAUGAAACUUCUGACCAAGUUACUACCGAACCUCGUAGGUCAACCAGAGUAAGAUCCGCACUAGAGUGGUACGGUAAUCCUGUUCUGGAAGUCAUGUUACUUGACUAUGACAAACCUACGAACUAUGAGGAAGCGAUGAUGAGCCCAGAUUCCGCGAAAUAGCUCGAGCCCAUGAAAUCUGAGAUGGGAUCCAUGUAUGAGAACAAAGUGUAGACUUUGGUUGACUUGCCCGAUGAUCGGCAAGCCAUAGAGAAUAAAUGGAUCUUCAAGAAGAAGACUGACGCUGAUGGUAAUAUUACUGUCUACAAAGCUUGACUUGUUGCAAAAGAUUUUCGACAAGUUCAAGGAGUUGACUACGAUGAGACCUUCUCACCCGUAGCGAUGCUUAAGUCCAUCCAAAUCAUGUUAGCAAUUGCCGCAUUUUAUGGUUAUGAAAUUUGGAAAAUGGAUGUCAAAACAGUAUUCCUGAAUAGAUUUCUGGAAGAAGAGUUGUAUAUGAUGCAACCCGAAGGUUUUAUCGAUCCAAAGGAUGCUAACAAAGUGUGCAAGCUCCAGCGAUCCAUUAAUGGACUGGUGCAAGCAUCUCGGAGUUGGAAUAAACGUUUUGAUAGUGUGAUCAAAGCAUAUGGUUUUAUACAGACUUUUGGAGAAGCCUGUAUUUACAAGAAAGUGAGUGGGAGCUCUGUAGCAUUUCUAAUAUUAUAUGUGGAUGACAUAUUAUUGAUUGGAAAUGAUAUAGAAUUUCUGGAUAGCAUAAAAGUUUACUUGAAUAAAAGUUUUUCUAUGAAAGACCUCGGUGAAGCUGCUUAUAUACUGGGCAUCAAGAUCUAUAGAGAUAGAUCAAGACGCUUAAUUGGACUUUCACAAAGCACAUACCUUGAUAAAGUUUUGAAGAAGUUCAAAAUGGAUCAAGCAAAGAAAGGGUUCUUGCCUGUGUUACAAGGUGUGAAGUUGAGUCAGACUCAAUGCCCGACCACUGCAGAAGAUAGAGAGAAAAUGAAAGUCAUUCCCUAUGCUUCAGCCAUAGGUUCUAUCAUGUAUGCAAUGCCGUGUACCAGACCUGAUGUGUGCCUUGCUAUUAGUUUAGCAGGGAGGUACCAAAGUAAUCCAGGAGUGGAUCACUGGACAUCGGUCAACAACAUCCUGAAAUACCUGAAGAGGACUAAGGAUAUGUUUCUUGUUUAUGGAGGUGACAAAGAGCUUGUCAUAAAUGGUUACGUCGAUGCAAGCUUUGACACCGAUCCAGAUGAAUCUAAGUCACAAACCGGAUACGUAUUUAUAUUGAACGGUGGAGCUGUCAGUUGGUGCAGUUCUAAGCAAAGCGUCGUGGCGGGAUCUACGUGUGAAGCGGAUUACAUAGCUGCUCUGGAAGCAGGAAAUGAAGGAGUCUGGAUGAAGGAGUUCAUAUCCGAUCUAGGUGUCAUACCUAGUGCAUCGGGUCCAAUGAAAAUCUUUUGUGACAAUACUGGUGCAAUUGCCUUGGCAAAGGAAUCCAGAUUUCACAAGAAAACCAAGCACAUCAAGAGACGCUUCAAUUCCAUCCGCGAUCAAGUCAAGGAGGGAGACAUAGAGAUUUGCAAAAUACAUACGGAUUUGAAUGUUGCAGACCUGUGACACCCAAGUUUUUUAUUUGGAUUUUUCAAAAGAUUUUUAUUUAACUUGAGGGGAGUGAUUUAAAUUUUUCUUCAAGAGAACUCCCCCUCUCAUAUAAUUUUUCCUUAUGGCAAAAACUUUAUUGGGAUUCACCCAAGAUCUGCCUUUGGUCUUGGAAGUCCUUGCUUUUCAUUUGGACUCAAGACAAAAUGUUUUUCAUUUGGGAAAAAUAACUUUUGAAAACCUUUUUGAAUUUUUGCACUAUGGCUUUUGGAAAGUCCUUUGCCACUUUCAACAAUUCCUCCUUGCCAUGGCCCUAGUGCAAAUGCUCUCUCCUAACCCUUCCCUCACCUUUGGAUCAUGUGUUACACCAAAUCCAGCAAGUUGAACCUCCCCAUGUAUCUAUUUCCAUUCAAAUUAUAUUCAAACAAAUUUCUGUCCUCUAUUCUACCACUUGGAGGUUCACAAAGGAACUCCUUUUUCUGUUUUGAUUUUUGCCACCAAACCAACUCUCCCUCCUAGUCCUUUGAAACCCCAACCUAGAACUAUGAAGAUCCACUGGUCUUCAGUUCAAAAUUUUCAAACUACACUUGCUGCAAGUUUGGACCAGAUUUGUCAAAUUUGGUGAAAUUCAUUCAAAACCUUCUCCAAAAAUUCCAAGUAAAAUCAGGCAGCCCCUGGGUGCUUUGAGUGGUCAUCUCACCAAGUUACAGCUCCAGAAAAAUUUAUCUCAUGGCCAAAACCUCCUGUCGAACACCUGCAGUGCAUGGUCAUUGUCAAGUUCAGAGUUUCAGAGUUUCAGUCAAGUGGCUGCUGUCAUUUUCUUCAGAAGCGGACGUUGAUCUCGCCAGUGCCACCGCGUCGCCUUGCUCCUCGUCCCCGCCCUCUUGUUCCUGCACCGCACGAACGCCUGGCGCCUUGCGGGCGUCGGCGACGAGCAGCAGAAGGUGCGCCGCCCCGUGACCGACGCCGGCGGCGGUUUGCGGACGCCAGCGGGAGACACGGCGCCGACGACGCCACCCAGCGCCGCCCAAACCACCGGAGCUCGCCGCGUGGCCUUCCACUCCCCCGAACGCGCUGCCGCUCUCGUCGUGAACCGCAGGGCGCGGAGCGCGCUCUCUGCCGCCGUUGAGCCCGUGCGGUCACCUCACCGUGGACCGACGCCAUUACGCCAAGACCAACCCCGUUUAGCUGUAAAACGAAUCCAGUAACCUCCACUGAUGCUGCCCGGCCGCUCAAACCACCUGCCAACCCACUGCUCCGCCCUAAUCGCUCGCCGGAGAUUCUCCGUUCACGGCCACCCCGUCGAUCUGCCUAUAAAUAGAGGCCCCGAGCUUCAACUCGAGCACCCACCAGCCCUGCACUCCCCCUAGAGCACGCCUAGCCACUGGAAGAGCCCCGAGGAGGUCUCCUUCCUCGGCUCCGGCCGCCGCGACCCGCCACGGGAUCCAGCCCGAUUCGCCCCCGUGUGUGCCCCUCCGCCUCCAUUCUCUUGCCAGUAGCUUCACCUUGCAUCACUCGUUCUGACCCGCGCCUCAAUUCGUAGUUUGCAGCCCUCCACCGGAGUUCCCCAUCCUCACCCGAGCCGCCGUCCGCCGGAGAAAGUGCCGCCGUCGACGUGGUGCUCCCCGUUGGACGAGUCCACCACCCACCGACGCGGAAGAAGGCGCUGAAGCUCUUGGUACCCUCCGUUUCUCCUAACUCGCCGUGCUUCGACGCCGGCGUCCACCGCAGUCUUCGGGCGCCGGCGAGCUUUUCAAACCUGACAUGUGGACCCCGCGUGUCAGCCUCUGUUCUUUUAUUCGCGAACCGUUUUCUGUUGGCUCCUUCGGGCAAAAUACGUCUUCUCCUUUGCGUUUGCGCAUUCCCAGCCGAAGCGUUUUCUGUUUUCUCAGUUAAAACCCUGGAACUUUUCUGUUUCAUUACAGAUAAGUCCCUGGACAGAAACCUUUAUAACUUUUUAAUAAAAAGGUAUUUUUGAGUGAAUCUUUUUCUGACAAUCUUCAAAUUUUUUCUAGUUUUUUAUGGGAUUUAUUUAAAAAAUAUUUGGAAAAGUCUCUGUGUAUGUGUUGGUUUUCACGUUAGUAUCCGUUUCGUGAUUGCCGUAGGUUCCGGGAGAGGAGACGGAGCCGCGAACUUCGCCGAGCUAGACUCCGACGUCUCCGAACCAGGCAAGCAUGUUUUGAACAUUUGAUAUGACAGAUGUUUUUCAUGUUCACGUGAAAGUUUUGUGCGUGGCAUAUGAGUGUCGGUAAAUGCCUCGUUGCUUGUAAGGCAACGACCCAGUUGUUCCAGAGUUGCGAUGAUCUCUGAUGAGAGAUGGCCUAAUCAUGUGAUGACAUGAAGGGCAGCAAGGUGGUACUGUUGUAGCAUACCAGCCUUGUGUCAUCCGACUCUUCCGACGUUAACAUGGUUGGAGCCGUGUUAUCGUUCUUUCCCCAUUCCAUGCUACCACAUGUCUCAUUGCCAGGGUACGGUUUAGUAAGUUGGUAACCUCUUCCCAUGUACACACCAAACAGAGAGGCCGGGAUGAUGGUACCUUGGCCCAGGAUUAAAGCCAGUCAUCCGGUCAGGGGGCAUGGGUGUUUCCGGUUGGGACCAAGAGGGGGGGCACCCCCUUAGAGCGCGCGUAUAAAAAUUUGAUCCCAUGCUACGCGAGGUUGUAGCCUCCCCGUCUCAAGGUUUUUCUUGGAUGUUACCGAGGGUGAUCCCUGGCUUCGGAUGGUUGAAUUGGUUGUGUACUGGUUAGACGUGUUCCUUCCAAAACACCGUAGACGGAACUAGUCCCCGAGACUACUGAAAUCCGUUGGCUGUGGUUAAGUACAAACUCUGCAGAGUCAAUUCUUUUCAAAUCAUCGUAUCCAUGAUCAAGCAGUGUAAGUAUUAUAUCCAUAUCCAUCUGUGUGAAAAACUUGUCCCCGGAGAACAAGCUCAAGUGGUAAAUUCAGAUUUUAUUGUUAUUCCUGUGGAUGGACUAACUUUAUAUUUGUCUCAUGCUUGUGAUACUUAUGUUCCCGAACCAAUGUAUUAUUGAGUUGUGAUAUAAGCCCUUUAUGAGACAUCGCGCAGACAUCCGACUGUGGCGUGUUCUUGUUCUUUACUUUAAAUAUAAGCCUUUUCUGUGAUGUCGCUCAGACGUCCGACUGUGGCAUGCACUGCCUUUAUUUUCUGUAAUAAGCCCUUUAUGUGGUGUCGCCCCGACGCCCGACUGUGGCAUUAUUGUUCCGCAUUUUCCUCUCGAGGAGUCUUUCAGACACUCGUUUGGCACCAGUAUUACAAUUUCUGCAGUUUCCGCUCGAGGUGUCAUUCAGACCCUCGCUUGGCACCCAAUAUUUAUUACCUCUAUGUCUGAUCGCACUGGUUAAUUUGUUCAUGUGCUUCAGGUUUACAUUUAUUAUACCUUAUGUCCGAACUGUCUUGUGAGUACUUUCAUAGUACUCACCUGGCUUGUUGAUUUGGCCAGAUGUUGACGAAGGCGAUCUCCUGGAUGAAGAGUUUGAUAGCGCGUCCGACGCCUAGAGGAGUCCCAGUCAGUCCUGCGCGAUCCCGGAUUUUGGUCACUUGUAUUGUUUACGCUUCCGCCACCCGCAAUAAGUCUUCUCGAGCCUCACUCCGACGCUCGAUGAGUUGUAGUCUUCUGGAAUCAUAUCACUCGCUUCGCGGUGAUAUUUCCACCACCGUUAUCACCGUGAGUUAGUAGUUGCCACCAUAUCCGCCGUUUUGUUUUUAGCGGCGUGCAUGUAAUAAAUUGUUGGGCAGUCCCUGCUCAACCUUGUAUUAUAUUUAGUACUCCUGGUAUUUUUCUUCUGUGACCAAGAUAUUGUCUAUCAGUGAGAAGGAAUUCUUCCUCGCUGGUCCGUAAAAGGGAUCGGUCUCUCAAUAAUUAUUUUAUUGAAAAACCGGUCGCGACAAGCUUGGUAUCAGAGCCAGGCUGACUGUAGAAAGCCACUAGGUGCGAUCGCUAAUCGGUUAUUAGCGUCUUUUGCGCUUUUUCAGCUUUUUGCAAUUGUAGCUAUUUUCUGUUGGUCAUCAUAAAUUUAUGACAUGACUACUCAGAAUUUUUGCCUACUUUUGUAGAUGGCUGGCGGCAGCUGUGAGAAUCGAGUGUUCACCAACGUGCCCGAGGGGUUUGUCAAGCUCCUCGUCUCCAUCACCAAGCUCGCGAUCGGGCCAGCAGCUUGCCCGGAGUUCACACUCUAUCAGCACAAGCUCAGUGACGACGUGUCUAUGCACCAAGCUGUGGUGCAGUUCAGGGGAGGACGUUCUGCUGCUCGUCACUUCCGUUUUACGGGAAGGGCCAUGCCUACGGAGAGGCAUGCCAUGCAGAUGGCUGCCCGUGAGGCGAUAGCUCGCCUUCGGGACAUCCUUCCUACGAUGAAGACUCGUCGCUACCGCUACCUCCCAUGCCAUGUGCCCUACACCAGCCACUAUGCGUUCGCCUGCCAUCGGGGAGAACGAGAUGAAGCCAUCUAGAUGGUUGUGGAGUAUCUCAAGGCUCUGGAGGAGUCUUUCGACAACCUUGUAGAUGAUCUUGUGGCUGCCCGCAUGGACUUAGUCCGGGGCGGUCCUGCCAGCAGGAAGGAGCUUCUCCACACGGCGCCGCCUUUGACAUUCGUCUCAUCUUCAGCCUUGUAUGCACCGGCCGUCUUGGCCACUGCUCGCCGUCUGCCUACCACUGAGGAGUUCGACCGAGUCAUCGCUCCUACUCCAGUCAGAGCCGCACCGCCUGCUGCACGCGGCCUACCACCAGUCGCCCCCGCACCAUCACCGCAGCGCAACGUCCCGCGCCAGGAGCCAGCUAGAGAGGAGGAGGUUGAUUCUCCUGGACCGCUGAGCCUUGCCUCCGGCAAGGGGAAGGAGAUCUUCACCAUCUCCGACUGAGAGCACCGAGUAGCAGCGUGUCAUGCCUGCUUGUAUGAUGUGUUGUUUUAUCUAUACGCUAGUUUGUAUUGGUGUGUUUGCUGCCUUCCGGAGUAGUACGCUAGUUUUAAUAACAUGUUAGGAUUGUGUACACACAUCCUGAGUGCUGUAUCUUGUGUUUGCUUUUCGCAUGUAAGGUUUAUGUUAAGCACUUCUUCUCCAUGAAAAAAUCAUUUGUGUUUCUUUGAAAACCUUGAAACCUUUUUAUUUUUGCCUUUGCGAGAUUUUUGUGCUACACAAUUUUUUUUUCUCAUGGGUUCUGCAAAUAAUACCCCAGACUGGAAAAAUGUCUCGCCCAUGGACUCGCUCCAUGCCCAAUCAGCCAGAAGAGGUUUACGGGACACAGACCAACAACAAUUUCACUCAGGGUCAGUCCAGCCAACAAGACAGCGAAGCGGCACUGUCUCAAGUAUGCCGUCUCUUCGAGCAAAGCCAGCAACAGCACCAAGAGAUGAUGAACCAUGUCAUCAACAUGGGAAACCACCGUGAACCCUAUCAACCCCAUUCCAAGUUAUCUGAAUUACAGAAGACUCGCCCCUCAACUUUUGCUCACACCGACAGACCGCUGGAAGCUGAUGAUUGGCUUCGUGAGAUUGAAAGGAAACUGAUUAUUGCUCAGUGCUCAGAUCAUGAGAAGGUGCUUUAUGCACCACACUACCUUACUGGAGCAGCCGCAGCAUGGUGGGAAAACUUCCUACACAUGCAUCCCAGGGAACACAACAUCACCUGGGAAGAGUUCAAGGAAGGCUUCCAUGGGGCACACAUCCCCAGGAGCAUCCUAAAGAUCAAGAAGAGAGAGUUCGAUGACCUGAAGCAAAGAGGCAUGUCAGUGACCGAGUACAAUGGUCAAUUCACCCAGCUGUCUCGUUAUGCCUACGACGAGCACAUGACAGAAAACAAGAAGAUGGAAAAAUUCCUGGAUGGCCUGGCACCAGCGUUAAGAUGCCAACUGAUCGUGCACACCUUUCCGGAUUUUAAGACGCUGGUGGACAAGGCCAUCACCCUGGAGAAUGAGCGCCGUAGUCUGGAAGAUAUCCGCAAGCGAAAGAGGGACAAGACGACUCUUGCCCGCAGCAACCGAGGCAAGACUGAGGUCCCAAGGACAGACACAAGGAGACCCACGACUACUGAGCCAAGACCUGUCGGACAAUUUCAUGCCAGAGACAAGGAGUUCACAUACCGUCCAGGGGUCACCUGCUAUGCUUGUGGUCAACAAGGGCAUUAUGCUAAACAGUGCCCGAAGCCAAGAGACUCGGCACCCAAGCCGAACAAUGGUGGAAACAAUCCAGCCCCCAAGCGCAACAACUUCAACCCCAGCAACAACCACAGGAAGGGUCACCUGAACCAUGUGACCAGGGAAGAAGCGCAGAAUGCCCCAGACAUCGUGCUCGGUACGUUCCCUGUCAACACAGUACCUGCCACGGUUUUGUUUGAUUCUGGAGCUUCCCAUUCGUUCGUUUCGAAGAGUUUUGUUUCGCAACAUGGUUUUCCGAUACUUCCCUUGGAAAAAUCUAUGAUCAUCAAGUCCCCCGGAAAUAAGCAAAUCGCUCAAGGUUACUGCCAAGGAGUGGUCAUUGAGUUCGAAGGACUACAGUUCCACGCGAAUCUCAUCGUGUUGGAAAGUAAAGGACUGGAUGUCAUUUUAGGGAUGGACUAGUUGACCACCAACAAAGGAUUCAUCGACUGUUUCAAUCGGACAGUGAUUCUCACUCACCAUCACGGCAAGACUAUAAGAGUUUCUGCCCAAGAAAGGCCACGAUCACAGCAACCAAAACUGAACAAAAUGGACAUUGCAGAACUGAGGAAAGUUCCAGUGGUAUGCGAGUUCCUUGAUGUGUUUCCUGAAGAACUACCAGGCAUGCCACCAGACCGAGAGAUCGAAUUCAGCAUUGAACUAGCACCUGGCACCGCUCCCAUCUAUAAGAAGCCUUAUAGAAUGGCACCCUCAGAAUUGGUGGAGUUGAAGAAGCAGAUAAAAGAAUUAUUGGACAAAGGAUUUAUUCGACCUAGCUCCUCACCAUGGGGUUCGCCUGUGUUGUUCGCUAAGAAGAAAGAUGGGACACUGAGGCUAUGCAUAGACUAUCGAGCCCUCAACAUGGUCACCAUCAAAAACAAAUAUCCGAUGCCACGGAUCAAUGAUUUGUUUGACCAGCUCGCACAAGCCAAGGUAUUUUCAAAGAUUGAUUUGAGAUCGGGAUACCAUCAACUGAAGGUACGGACAAAAGACAUUCCCAAGACAGCUUUCACUUCCAGAUAUGGGUUAUACGAGUUUACCGUGAUGCCUUUUGGACUAACGAACGCCCCCGCAUAUUUCGUCCACCUCAUGAACAAGGUAUUCAUGAAAUUCAUGGACAAAUUUGUGGUGGUAUUCAUUGACGAUAUUCUGGUUUACUCAAGGACACCGGAAGAGCAUGCUGAGCACCUCAGGAUUGUUUUGGGAGAAUUGAGGAAACAUCAGUUGUACGCCAAAUUUAGCAAGUGCGAAUUUUGGCUAAGACAAGUUGGUUUCUUGGGCCAUAUAUUGAACCAAGAAGGCGUGGCCGUAGACCCAGAAAAAGUCAAGGCCAUACUAGACUGGAAGCCACCCGCCAAUGUUGCAGAUGUGCGGAGUUUCCUAGGAAUGGCCGGAUAUUACAGGAGAUUUAUUGAAGGUUUCUCCACUGUGGCAAAACCUAUGACACAAUUACUCAAGAAGGACAAGAAAUUCAUAUGGACGGAAGCAUGUGAGCAGAGCUUCCAAGAACUCAAGAAGAAGCUGACAACCGCACCGGUCUUAACUGUGCCAGACAUACACAAGAGCUUUGAAGUGUAUUGUGACGCGUCCCGAAAAGGUCUCGGAUGUGUGCUAAUGCAGGAUGGCAAAGUUGUCGCAUAUGCCUCCAGGCAGCUGCGAAAACAUGAGGAAAAUUACCCAACACAUGACUUGGAGCUAGCAGCAGUUAUACAUGCACUUAAGGAGUGGAGGCACUUUCUAUUGGGAAAUCGCUGUGAAAUAUACACGGACCAUAAGAGCCUCAAAUAUAUUUUCACACAGCCAGAGCUAAAUUUACGCCAACGACGCUGGUUGGAACUGGUCAAGGACUAUGACGUCGGUAUUCACUACCACCCGGGGAAGGCAAAUGUAGUGGCCGAUGCCCUUAGUCGAAACCCCAGCCCGGACAGUGACGGUCAGCAAAAUUUGAGGUCUGAAUUUCAGCGAGAGUUCACUAGGCUCAACAUGAUGUUAGUCUCCGAGGGCACCGUAUCGAACCUGGAGAUACAACCCACCCUAGUGGAACAAAUCAAGAAGGCUCAACAGGGACAUCCCAGCAUUGAAGGCAUAAAGAAGAAAAUGAAUCUUAGUAAGACUUCAGAGUUCGUCACAGACAGUGAAGGGACAUUAUGGUACCGAGACAGACUUUGCGUACCUAACAUUGAGGAACUCAAGCAACAGAUCUUGACGGAAAGCCACACCGCCCCAUACUCGAUCCAUCCUGGAGGAACCAAAAUGUACAAGGACAUCCAGGAAAGAUUUUGGUGGCACGGUAUGAAAAGAGAUAUAGCCACGUUCAUUGCUUGUUGCGAUUCAUGUCAGCGCAUCAAGGCCGAGCACCAAAAGCCAGUAGGGCUACUCCAGCCUAACAGGAUACCGGAGUGGAAAUGGGAUGAAAUUGGAAUGGACUUCAUUGUCGGAUUACCCCGAUCACAACACGGAAAUGACGCCAUAUGGGUCAUCACAGACCGACUAACCAAGGUUGCUCAUUUCAUUCCCGUGAAGACUACCUACUCCACACAAAGACUGGCAAAACUUUAUCUCUCCCAUAUCGUUUGCUUGCACGGAGUCCCAAAGACUAUAAUAUCAGACCGAGGCACCCAAUUCAUCUCCAAAUGUUGGGAUCACCUACAACAAGCUCUGGGCACGCAACUAGCUUUCAGUACAGCAUACCACCCUCAGACUGAUGGACAGACGGAACGUGUAAACCAAAUCCUAGAGGAUAUGCUAAGAGCCUGUGUGCUCACCUAUGGAUCCAGUUGGGAAGAAAGUUUGCCGUAUGCCGAAUUUGCUUACAACAACAGUUACCAAGCCAGCUUGCAAAUGGCACCCUUUGAAGCGUUGUACGGGCGAAGGUGUCGUACCCCUCUGAAUUGGUCAGAAACAGGUGACAGCCGUAUCUUCGGCCCAGACAUGCUUAAAGAGGCCGAGGAGAAAGUUAAACAAAUCAGGGACAAACUCAAGACAGCACAGAGCCGACAAAAGAGGUACUACGAUCAGAAGCAUCGAGAGGUCAGCUUUGAACCCGGUGAUUCCGUAUACCUCCGAGUAUCUCCAAUGAGGGGUCUGCAACGAUUCAAGAUUAAGGGGAAGCUAGCCCCAAGAUUUAUUGGACCAUUUUGUGUAAAGGCACAAAGAGGCACGGUUGCCUACCAGCUAGACCUACCCAAGGAGCUGUCAGACAUCCAUGACGUGUUCCACGUCUCACAGCUAAGAAAAUGUGUGACCAACCCAGAAAAGCAUGUACCUCAUGAGGACAUUGAUAUGCAACCAGAUCUCACCUACAGAGAAAGUCCAGUAAAGAUCUUAGAAGAGUCUGAACGGAGGACCCGUCAGAAAACGACAUAGUUUUUCAGGGUUCAGUGGAGCAACCACACGGAGGAUGAAGCUACAUGGGAAAGGGAGGAUUUCCUUCGAGCAGAGUAUCCAUACCUAUUUGAGGGUCAGCAGAGAUCUCGAGGACGAGAUUUUUCCUAAGGGGGUAGGUGUUGUGACACCCAAGUUUUUUAUUUGGAUUUUUCAAAAGAUUUUUAUUUAACUUGAGGGGAGUGAUUUAAAUUUUUCCUCAAGAGAACUCCCCCUCUCAUAUAAUUUUUCCUUAUGGCAAAAACUUUAUUGGGAUUCACCCAAGAUCUGCCUUUGGUCUUGGAAGUCCUUGCUUUUCAUUUGGACUCAAGACAAAAUGUUUUUCAUUUGGGAAAAUUAACUUUUGAAAACCUUUUUGAAUUUUUGCACUAUGGCUUUUGGAAAGUCCUUUGCCACUUUCAACAAUUCCUCCUUGCCAUGGCCCUAGUGCAAAUGCUCUCUCCUAACCCUUCCCUCACCUUUGGAUCAUGUGUUACACCAAAUCCAGCAAGUUGAACCUCCCCAUGUAUCUAUUUCCAUUCAAAUUAUAUUCAAACAAAUUUUUGUCCUCUAUUCUACCACUUCGAGGUUCACAAAGGAACUCCUUUUUCUGUUUUGAUUUUUGCCACCAAACCAACUCUCCCUCCUAGUCCUUUGAAACCCCAACCUAGAACUAUGAAGAUCCACUGGUCUUCAGUUCAAAAUUUUCAAACUACACUUGCUGCAAGUUUGGACCAUAUUUGUCAAAUUUGGUGAAAUUCAUUCAAAACCUUCUCCAAAAAUUCCAAGUAAAAUCAGGCAGCCCCUGGGUGCUUUGAGUGGUCAUCUCACCAAGUUACAGCUCCAGAAAAAUUUAUCUCAUGGCCAAAACCUCCUGUCGAACACCUGCAGUGCAUGGUCAUUGUCAAGUUCAGAGUUUCAGAGUUUCAGUCAAGUGGCUGCUGUCGUUUUCUUCAGAAGCGGACGUCGAUCUCGCCAGUGCCACCGCGUCGCCUUGCUCCUCGUCCCCGCCCUCUUGUUCCUGCACCGCACGAACGCCUGGCGCCUUGCGGGCGUCGGCGACGAGCAGCAGAAGGUGCGCCGCCCCGUGACCGACGCCGGCGGCGGCUUUGCGGACGCCAGCGGGAGACACGGCGCCGACGACGCCACCCAACGCCGCCCAAACCACCGGAGCUCGCCGCGUGGCCUUCCACUUCCCCGAACGCGCUGCCGCUCUCGUCGUGAACCGCAGGGCGCGGAGCGCGCUCUCUGCCGCCGUUGAGCCCGUGCGUCACCUCACCGUGGACCGACGCCAUUACGCCAAGACCAACCCCGUUUAGCUGUAAAACGAAUCCAGUAACCUCCACUGAUGCUGCCCGGCCGCUCAAACCACCUGCCAACCCACUGCUCCGCCCUAAUCGCUCGCCGGAGAUUCUCCGUUCACGGCCACCCCGUCGAUCUGCCUAUAAAUAGAGGCCCCGAGCUUCAACUCGAGCACCCACCAGCCCUGCACUCCCCCUAGAGCACGCCUAGCCACUGGAAGAGCCCCGAGGAGGUCUCCUUCCUCGGCUCCGGCCGCCGCGACCCGCCACGGGAUCCAGCCCGAUUCGCCCCCGUGUGUGCCCCUCCGCCUCCAUUCUCUUGCCAGUAGCUUCACCUUGCAUCACUCGUUCUGACCCGCGCCUCAUUCGUAGUUUGCAGCCCUCCACCGGAGUUCCCCAUCCUCACCCGAGCCGCCGUCGACGUGGUGCUCCCCGUUGGACGAGUCCACCACCCACCGACGCGGAAGAAGGCGCUGAAGCUCUUGGUACCCUCCGUUUCUCCUAACUCGCCGUGCUUCGACGCUGGCGUCCACCGCAGUCUUCGGGCGUCGGCGAGCUUUUCAAACCUGACAUGUGGACCCCGCGUGUCAGCCUCUGUUCUUUUAUUCGCGAACCGUUUUCUGUUGGCUCCUUCGGGAAAAAUACGUCUUCUCCUUUGCGCUUGCGCAUUCCCAGCCGAAGCGUUUUCUGUUUUCUCAGUUAAAACCCUGGAACUUUUCUGUUUCAUUACAGAUAAGUCCCUGGACAGAAACCUUUAUAACUUUUUAAUAAAAAGGUAUUUUUGAGUGAAUCUUUUUCUGACAAUCUUCAAAUUUUGUCUAGUUUUUUAUGGGAUUUAUUUGAAAAAUAUUUGGAAAAGUCUCUGUGUAUGUGUUGGUUUUCACGUUAGUAUCCGUUUCGUGAUUGCCGUAGGUUCCGGGAGAGGAGACGGAGCCACGAACUUCGCCGAGCUAGACUCCGACGUCUCCGAACCAGGCAAGCAUGUUUUGAACAUUUGAUAUGACAGAUGUUUUUCAUGUUCACAUGAAAGUUUUGUGCGUGGCAUAUGAGUGUCGGUAAAUGCCUCGUUGCUUGUAAGGCAACGACCCAGUUGUUCCAGAGUUGCGAUGAUCUCUGAUGAGAGAUGGCCUAAUCAUGUGAUGACAUGAAGGGUAGCAAGGUGGUACUGUUGUAGCAUACCAGCCUUGUGUCAUCCAACUCUUCCGACGUUAACAUGGUUGGAGCCGUGUUAUCGUUCUUUCCCCAUUCCAUGCUACCACAUGUCUCAUUGCCAGGGUACGGUUUAGUAAGUUGGUAACCUCUUCCCAUGUACACACCAAACAGAGAGGCCGGGAUGAUGGUACCUUGGCCCAGGAUUAAAGCCAGUCAUCCGGUCAGGGGGCAUGGGUGUUUCCGGUUGGGACCGAGAGGGGGGGCACCCCCUUAGAGCGCGCGUAUAAAAAUUUGAUCCCAUGCUACGCGAGGUUGUAGCCUCCCCGUCUCAAGGUUUUUCUUGGACGUUGCCGAGGGUGAUCCUUGGCUUCGGAUGGUUGAAUUGGGUGUGUACUGGUUAGACGUGUUCCUUCCAAAACACCGUAGACGGAACUAGUCCCCGAGACUACUGAAAUCCGUUGGCUGUGGUUAAGUACAAACUCUGCAGAGUCAAUUCUUUUCAAAUCAUCGUAUCCAUGAUCAAGCAGUGUAAGUAUUAUAUCCAUAUCCAUCUGUGUGAAAAACUUGUCCCCGGAGAACAAGCUCAAGUGGUAAAUUCAGAUUUUAUUGUUAUUCCUGUGGAUGGACUAACUUUAUAUUUCUCUCAUGCUUGUGAUACUUAUGUUCCCGAACCAAUGUAUUAUUGAGUUGUGAUAUAAGCCCUUUAUGAGACGUCGCGCAGAUGUCCGACUGUGGCGUGUUCUUGUUCUUUACUUUAAAUAUAAGCCCUUUCUGUGAUGUCGCUCAGACGUCCGACUGUGGCAUGCACUGCCUUUAUUUUCUGUAAUAAGCCCUUUAUGUGGUGUCGCCCCGACGCCCGACUGUGGCAUUAUUGUUCCGCAUUUUCCUCUCGAGGAGUCUUUCAGACACUCGUUUGGCACCAGUAUUACAAUUUCUGCAGUUUCCGCUCGAGGUGUCAUUCAGACCCUCGCUUGGCACCCAGUAUUUAUUACCUCUAUGUCUGAUCGCACUGGUUAAUUUGUUCAUGUGCUUCAUGUUUACAUUUAUUAUACCUUAUGUCCGAACUGUCUUGCGAGUACUUUCAUAGUACUCACCUGGCUUGUUGAUUUGGCCAGAUGUUGACGAAGGCGAUCUCCUGGAUGAAGAGUUUGAUAGCGCGUCCGACGCCUAGAGGAGUCCCAGUCAGUCCUGCGCGAUCCUGGAUUUUGGUCACUUGUAUUGUUUACGCUUCCGCCACCCGCAAUAAGUCUUCUCGAGCCUCACUCCGACGCUCGAUGAGUUGUAGUCUUCUGGAAUCAUAUCACUCGCUUCGCGGUGAUACUUCCACCACCGUUAUCACCGUGAGUUAGUUGUUGCCACCAUAUCCGCCGUUUUGUUUUUAGCGGCGUGCAUGUAAUAAAUUGUUGGGCAGUCCCUGCUCAACCUUGUAUUAUAUUUAGUACUCCUGGUAUUUUUCUUCUGUGACCAAGAUAUUGUCUAUCAGUGAGAAGGAAUUCUUCCUCGCUGGUCCGUAAAAGGGAUCGGUCUCUCAAUAAUUAUUUUAUUGAAAAACCGGUCGCGACAAGACCCGUUGACUAAGGCUCUCUCACGAGCAAAACAUGAUCAACACUAAGACUCCAUGGGUGUUAGAAUCAUUACUAUGUAAUCUAGAUUAUUGACUCUAGUGCAAGUGGGAGACUUAAGGAAAUAUGCCCUAGAGGCAAUAAUAAAGUUCUUAUUUAUAUUUCCUUAUAUCAUGAUAAAUGUUUAUUAUUCAUGCUAGAAUUGUAUUAACCGGAAACUUAGUACAUGCGUGAAUACAUAGACAAACAGAGUGUCACUAGUAUGCCUCUACUUGACUAGCUCGUUAAUCAAAGAUGGUUAAGUUUCCUAGCAUAGACAUGAGUUUUCAUUUGAUGAACGGGAUCACAUCAUUAGAGAAUGAUGUGAUUGACAUGACCCAUCCGUUAGCUUAGCACUAUGAUCGUUUAGUUUAGUUUAUUGCUAUUGCUUUCUUCAUGACUUAUACAUGUUCCUAUGACUAUGAGAUUAUGCAACUCCCGAAUACCGGAGGAACACUUAGUGUGUUAUCAAACGUCACAACGUAACUGUGUGAUUAUAAAGAUGCUCUACAGGUGUCUCCAAUGGUGUUUGUUGAGUUGGCAUAGAUCGAGAUUAGGAUUUGUCACUCCGAUUGUCGGAGAGGUAUCUCUAGGCCUUCUUGGUAAUACACAUCACUAUAAGCCUUGCAAGCAAUGUAACUAAUGAGUUAGUUACAGAUGAUGCAUUACGGAAUGAGUAAAGAGACUUGCUGGUAACAAGAUUGAACUAGGUAUAGUGAUACCGAUGAUCGAAUCUCGAGCAAGUAACAUACCGAUGACAAAGGGAACAACGUAUGUUGUUAUGCGGUUUGACAGAUAAAGAUCUUCGUAGAAUAUGUGGGAGCCAAUAUGAGCAUCCAGGUUCCGCUAUUGGUUAUUGACCGGAGAUGAGUCUCGGUCAUGUCUACAUAGUUCUCGAACCCGUAGGGUCCACACGCUUAACGUUCGAUGACGAUCGGUAUUAUGAGUUUAUGUGUUUUGAUGUACCGAAGGUAGUUCGGAGUCCCGGAUGAGAUCCCGGACAUGACGAGGAGUCUCGGAAUGGUCGAGACAUGAAGAUUGAUAUAUUGGAAGACUAUAUUCGGACACCAGAAUAGUUCCGAGGUGUAUCGGGUAUUUUCCGGAGUACCGGGGGGUUACGAGAACGCCCCGGGGGGUUAUUGGGCCUCAUGGGCCUAGUAGUGGAAGAGAGGAGGCAGGCCAAAUUAAAGGGUGGCGCGCGCCCCCUAGCCCAAACCGAAUUGGACUAGGGGGCCGGCCCCCCUUUCCUUCUCUCCUCCCUCUCCUUCCCCCUUCUCCUUGUUGGAAUACGAAAGGGGGGAGGGGGCGAAUCCUACUUGGAGUAGGAUUGCCCCCCCAUGGUGCGCCUUCUCCUCCUGGCCGGCCUCCUCCUCCCUCCCUCCUUUAUAUACGUGGGAGGCGGGCACCCCAAAGGCACACCAAAGUUUCUCUUAGCCAUGUGUGGUGCCCCCUCCACAGAAACACACCUCGGUCAUAUCGUCAUAGUGCUUAGGUGAAGCCCUGCACCGGUAACUUCAUCAUCACCGUCAUCGCGCCGUCGUGCUGACGAAACUCUCCCUCGGCCUCAGCUGGAUCAAGAGUUCGAGGGAUGUCACCGAUCUGUACGUGUGCAGAUCGCGGAGGUGCCGUGCGUUCGGUACUUGAUCGGUUGGAUCGCGAAGACGUUAGACUACAUCAACCGCGUUACUAAACGCUUCCGCUUUCGGUCUACGAGGGUACGUGGACACACUCUCCCCACUCGUUGCUAUGCUUCUCCUAGAUAGAUCUUGCGUGAUCGUAGGCAAAUUUUUGAAAUACUACGUUUCCCAACACUUCUACGCUUUGCGUGUUGAUCAACUUGAUUCACACUUGACUUAGCCUUGAUCAACCUUGUAUCAUGUCUUCUACAUGACCAAUCUUUGGAUAAUUCCUUGAAUAGCACCUUGGAAAACACAUAAACUCCUUGAAACCAACACAUGGACUUCAAGAAAAACCUAUGGACAAAUCCUUCAAAUAUAACUCAAGCCAACCACUAGUCCAUAGAGAACGUCAUCAACUGCGUGUUGAUCAACUUGAUUCACACUUGACUUAGUCUUGAUGAACCUUGUAUCAUGUCUUCUACAUGACCAAUCUUUGGAUAAUUCCUUGAAUAUCACAUUGGUCAACACAUAAACUCCUUGAAACCAACACAUGGACUUCAAGAAAAACCUAUGGAAAAAUCCUUCAAAUAUAACUCAAGGCAACCAUUAGUCCAUAGAGAAUGUCAUCAAUUACCAAAACCAAACAUGGGGGCACCGCAUGUUCUUUCAGAAAACCCCUAUACAAAUGGUAACAUGCAUAGUUCGAGUACUGCAAAUUAAUCACAGUGAUGAAGCUUAAUCAGAUGGUGAUUACCUGAGUUGCAUGGAUUUAAUUAUAGUGAGUUGUUAACUUGACAACCAAAAUAAGAAAAGGGUUGGUUUCCUAAAACUCUAAUACUCAUGGUGGUUCCACCUUAAAGAGUACAUGAACACAAAUAAAAAUAAAGAAAGAAAAUUGCCAUUAAAUAGGAAUGAAUUAGUGGAAAUACCCAUGAAUUAGGAGUUUUCCAAGAAUGAAUGAAUGGAUUAUAGCAACAUUGGUAUUACCCUUAAAAGAAAUAAAAUAUAAAAAACAAAUCAAAUAAUAACAAUUUGCACAAAUUUUACAUGGCAAUUGAAAUAUGGAAGAAUAAGCAUAUAACAGUGAAAGUUUCACAAAACAAAUCUAAAAAGGAAUGAAUUAGUGACAUUGUUAUUAUGUACCCUUAAACAAGAAAGAAAAUGUGUGUUCAAAAAAAUUGAAAUUAAAGUUACAAAAAAUCAAAAUAAUGAAAUUUACAAGGAAUAAUGAAUUAUUGGCAUUGUUAUUACCCUUAAAGAAGAACUAAAAUGAAAUAAAAACUAAAACAAAAAUCCAAAUAAUGAAAUUUUAUAAGGAAUAAUGAAUUAAUAACAUUGUUGUUACCCUUAAAGAAGAAAGAAAAUGAAAUAAAAGCUAAAAGAAAAUCAACAUAAUGAAAUUUUACAAGGGAUGAUGAAUUAGUGACAUUGGUAAUACCCUUAAAAAAGGAAAGCCGGAAAAGGAAACUAACACCAAAUCAAAAAUAUUGAGUUUUAUAAGGAGGAAUUAAUUAGUGGCAUUGGUAUUACCCUUUAAGAAGAAGAAAUAAUUAAAUUUUCUAAGAAAAAAUGAGUUAGUAUCAAUACCAAUGAAUUAGUAGUUGCUAAGAAGGAAUGAAUAAGUUGUGUUGAUAUUACACUUAAAAAUAAAUAAAAUGUGAAAAAUUAAAUCAAAUAAUGACUCAAUUUGCACACAAUUUACACAAAAUGCAAUUUUUUUAGAAAAAUACAAGAAUAAGUCUAUAAUUGCGAAAGUUUCGCAAAACACAGGUUUCUAAGAUGAAAUUAAUUAGUGGCAUUUUUAUAACCCUUAAAGAAGAAAGAAAAUGGAAAUUUUUUUAAAAUCAAACUAAUAAAUUUUACAAGGAAGAUGAAUUAGUGGCAUUGAUAUUAUAUGGAAGAAUGAAUUAGUGGCAUUCGCAUUACCCUCAAAGAAGAAAGCAAAAUGAAAAAGAAACUAAAACAAAAUCAAAAGAAUGAAGUUUUAUAAGAAAGAAUAAAUAAGUGGCAUUGGUAUUAACCUUUAAGAAGAAAGAAAAUGAAAGAAAAACUACAACAAAUCAAAAUAAUGAAGUUUUCUUAGAAACAAUGAAUUAUUGACAUUCGUAUUACCCUUUAAGAUGAAGAAAAUUGAAAAAAAAUGAAACAGAUAAUGGCAAAAAUUGCACUAAAUUUACACAAAAUUUUCGGUUUUUCAUUAUGUGCAAGAAUAAGCAUAUAAUAGUGGAACUUUCGCAAAACAUAAGUUUUCUAAGAAAAAAUGAAUUAGUGGCAAUGUCAUUACUCUUUAAGAAGAAGAAAUGUGAAAAAUAAUGACAAAAAUUGCACAUUUUCAUAAUAUGCAACAAUGAGCAUAUAAUAGUGGAAUUUUCACAAAUAAGAAGUUUCCUCGGGAACAAGUUAGUGGCAUUGGUAUUUUUCCCUUAAAGAAGUAAUAAACUAAAAUAAAAACUAAACAAAUUAAAAUAAUGAAGUUUUAAAGAAGAAUAAACUAGUGGCAGUGGUAUCACUCUUUAAGAAGAAAAUCAAAAUAGCUUGCACACAACUUUGCACUAAAAUUGCACCUUUUAAAUAUGCAAUAAAUAAACGUAGAAUAGAGUAAUUUUCACACUCUAGUGUGAUUUACACACAUGCUCUAUAGUACUUGAGUGUAUAUAUUUGCACUCAUCCAAUAUGUAAAAAGUACCCAUGCAAAAAAAAAGACAGGCUAAAAAAUAAAAAUAAAAGCAAAAGCAAAAAUGGUUAAAAAAGGUAAUGUAUAACGGGCUUCACAUAAAAUAAUCGAUUUACCCCAAACAUGAGCAAGUCAAAAAAUUCAGCCUAAGAAAAAAAUCGACUUAGCGUAAACAAGGACAAGUAAAAAAAUUCAGCCUAUGAUUUAUUUUUUUAUUUUUUGCGGGAAAGCCUAUGUAAGGAAUUGACUUACCCAAAACAGGGCAAGUAAAAAAUCAGCCUAAACACACAUACAAGAAACUUUUUUUUUAGCGACUUACAUAUACUACUAUACUAAAGCUGCUAAGCUAGCAGCGCUAUCGUUCAUUUCAAGUGUAUUGGCGAGAGUGCCUUUCCUGUUGACACGUGUUCAAAUUUUCCAUUUGAUUUAGUGUGUACUGUUUUUCUUAACACAAUAUAAAUUACACUGCUUUUUAAUACAGUACAAACGCAUACGGUCAUACAUACACACAUACACUCAUACAUAUGAAUGCAUGACGUACACCAUAUCCACAUGAGCAUCUCCGAGAGACUGAGCCGUCACAUCAUCUUGAGAUUAAGUGCAGAUUGUGCUGGUUUUUUAACAUAGUACAGACGCAUACGCUCAUACAUACACACAUACAUUCAUCCGUAUGAAUGCUUGCCCGCAAACCCUACCACAUGAGCAUCUCCGAGAGAUUGAGCUGCGACAUCAUCUUGAGAUUGACGAAGUCUUCAGAUACGUUUACAUAGUUGACGGAUACGUCUUCUCUCAUUCAGCGCACAUCGCCGGGAGGCCUACAAUAAAUCUAGAAAAAUGCGAGUACGAAUGUCAAGUCCGGGACUUGAACCCUGGUGGGUAGGGAAUACCACUAUCCUCCUAACCAUCGAACCACAGAUCGAUUCACUCUACAUACUGGUUUUUUCUUUUGUGUUUGCUACCUCUUUUAACGCAAUACAAUGCAUAUGCCAGCAUACACGUGUAUAUAAUCACCCCUACAAACGCACGCACGCACGCAUACCUUACCCCUAUGAGUAUAUACCUGAUACUGAGCCGACGCAACAUUUUUAGAUUGACGAAGUCAUCGCCGAUGCUUUCGUAGUCGACGGGAACGUCUCCUCCUACUGAACGCACAUCGCCGAAAGCCAUGGAAUAAAUCCAGAAAAAUAAGAGCACCAGUGCCAUGUCUAUGAAUCACCGGAAGCCAUGGAAUAAAUUCUGGAAAAUGCGAGCACCAGUGCCAAGUCUAUGAAUUAAACCCUGAUGGCAUAACAUUAUAAGGAUCGUUUUCUAAGCCCCUAUUCGCUGAUUAUGGUGUCCUUUAUGUGAAAAAAUAUUUCACGCUUAGCCAUUAGAGAUAUAGAAAAUGCUACGAGAAGGGGAACCUACAGCUAAAUUUCGACGCCAUUGCAUAGGAUACUUCUUUUCCACGGCCGGCCUCCUACUUCAGAGUAGAUAUUUGACAUUUCAAAGUAAAUGAAAAAAAAGAAUGUACUAUCACCACUGGAGAGGCAAACCAUAUGUGUUACUAAAUGAUCCAACUAUUUUAGCAUGUCAAUCUUUUGUUUCACAUUUGCUUAUGAUUGCUUGUACUUCACUGGCUUUUCUUUUCUCAUUAGCAAAUUUGUACAUCUAGCCAAUGAAAUAUAACCCAUAAUGUCCAUUGUUCUUAAUAACAACAAUAACAAGUGUAUAAGUCAAGGCCACUUCCACGGGCACGGCGUGUCGCCGCGCCUUCACCCGCUAAGUAUAGCUAAAGUUCUAUUUUAUCAGGGAGAAGCGAGAAACGUUUUUUCCUUUGAAAUUUUCAGCCGGGCCGUGUGGUCAGCGUCUAGAGAGAGUCGAGCCGAUGGAAUCUUUCAUGGAAUAUAUCCUCGUGAAAGAAGACGGCAAACGUUCAACUCGCCUUACCGGUUGACCUCCAAAGGAGAAGACUAGUAUGCAUGCACGGCAGUCGGUAGUCCCGUGGCAUCUACGCACAGGCACGGCAAGUCAAGCUCGCAGGGCGUUUGUGUCCGGAUCGCACAGCGCACUCACCUCAACCUGAUGGCAACAUACGCUGCGCCGGUCAACCGAGAUGUCUCGCGAACUCCCCCGGAAGCCGGCGAGUCCGACGACGUUCCUGUCAUGAGCGUUCGUGUUGGUCCGUUCAGAAAAACUUAUCUAGCUAGUCAACCUGACAGACACUUGCACGGCAAGGAAUUGUUAGAUUAUUAAGCACCAGCGCGCCGCCGCGCCACGGCUGUGCUGCACUGUCCAAGAAGCAACAAUAAACGGAAAAAAUUGGAACGUCGCAGUCGCAGCACUCGCAGCUGUAGCUGGUGGUCGAGUGCGCACAUGUCUUCUUUUUCUAGGGAGAGUGCCCACAUGUUGUCUGGUGACAUUCCCGGAAGCACCGUGCCGGCCGAGCCCCCUCCCUAUAAAACCAUCUCCGGCGAGACGUCGUCAAGCCAUCGGUCAGUUACCAGAUCAACACCAACAGUAAACAGAAAUCAUUUCCUAGCCCGCCAACAAAAACAGACUUCCCAUUCGAUCCGCUCACAAGCUUUUCGAUCGGUUUAGUUGUUCAACAAUCAACAGCCAACAGCUCCCGGAUGGCCGGAGCCACGCUUCUGCGCCACCUGGGCCCCCGCCUCUUCGCCGCCGCCGAGCCAGCCUCCGGGCUCGCCGCGAGCGCGAGGGGCAUCAUGCCCGCCGCCGCGAGGAUCUUCCCCGCG
rnacentral:lncRNA from 1 species